UCUCAUCCAACAAGUUCAUUCGGAAAGUCCAUACAAAAAGGUUUCCCAUGGCUGAUAUCUUUUCAGUAACCACUCUCCAAGAAACACUCUGCCCUCCCAAGGCUGAGAGUCCAGUAGUCACUCCGCUCCUCACUCCCUUCUCUGCCGUCGUGCCUGCUCGUUUUACCCUGGCUAGGCUCACUAUCCACAUAACAUUGGCAACCAUUCAUGAAGAAGAAAAUGAAGAGGAAAGCAUGGCGGUGUCACAGAAUUCAUCGACGUCUUUUUUAUCCACUUGUUUCUUAGAAGUGAAGAAGCCCUUGCCGUCAUAUAGUCACAACUGCAAGUGUGCUUAGGGAUGUUCAUAACUUGAACAAACAUCAGAUGUAAUCCAUGAAUGGUUUUUUUUCCAAUCUUAAAUCAUGGUUUACUUUGUUGAGGAGAAAUUUUUGUAACAUAUGCUUCUCAGAAAUUAGGAGACUCUUGCUGUUCAGUCAACAAGCUUUAUCAAUCGUUGGCUGGUUAUAUGUCUAUGCAUGUGGUCAAACCAAGUAUUAAUAAAUAAAUAAUGGAUUGUAAUUGACUCUUCUUGUUUGAAGAAUUUUCUGUCUCUUCUAUCUUUUUAUAACCAUGUUUUGCUCCUGGUCAUGGAGCCUAUCACUGGCAUUUGAAUAACGUUUAAUCCUGUUGCAUGUGCUCCGCUGCAGCAUGAGGAGAAAGUUUCUUUUGUCCACGCCCUGGAGGAAUCCUUCAAAACUUGUCUUUUAUUUUGCGAAGCCAUGUUCAUGAAGUUAUUGAGGGGUACAAAUCUUCUAAUCCAUGACUUCUCUGGUUAAGCACGUAGGAGCACUCAGCAGCUUGUAAAGUAACAUAUUAAUUAAUGCAAGGAAGAGGGAAAUUAUAGAAAGUGAAAUCAGGUUUGCAGUAGGCCAUGUUCAUGAAGUUUGGCAAAGCACCUAAAUCUAGUAUAGCCAUGCAGAUCAGUUGAUGCAGUCGAGAUAAGGCUUGACUGUCUAGAAAAUGAACCAGCCAACAGAACAUUGUGUCAGCAGUGGGGACCGAAUGAAGUGAUUUUAGCUAAUUGAUUGAAACAGCAUUUAAUUUUGCUGUCAGUAAUUUGUUCAUUUGCUUUACCUUUUUGCUGCUAGAUUAUCCUGAUUUGUUUGGAUAUAUAGAAAUUUCCAUUAUCCAAAAGAAAACAAAAAAUCAUUACUAGUGAAGUUCCCAUGUCAGAAAUGUAAGACCAUCAUCAGUUCAUUGACUAUCUGAGUACGAAGUCAAAAGCCUAUAACUUAACAGACUUAAGUUAUGUCACACUAAAAAAUGGGUCAUUUUGAUCUUCUAAGCAAAUGAGGAAUGUUGUAGUAUUUUCCUAGGUUUUGCUUGUAAUGAAAAAUUGAAUUCAGGACUUGUUAAUUUGUACCCCUUGAAGUUAAUCUUAAACCAAUGUGUUUUGAGUUCGACAGAUAACACCUAAUCUGCACUCCCCUAGUCUUAGCUUCAAAAAGAAAAAGCCUCGUCAGACUAAAGUUAGCCCUGAUGCAAUCAGAUGUCUGCCACUAUUAUCCUCGAUCCCUGUCUCAUGGCUUUUUGGGUAGUUUCUUCCGUGCACAUUUAACUUAAAAGACACCUGUUAAGUUACAUAUGGAUGAUUAAGUUGCCUUUUCUUCUUCACUCCUGAAAAUUUUUUCCCAGAAAUACAUUACCCAGGAAUGAAGCGUGACGUGGAAGUGUGUCUUCAGAUAUAUCUUGAAAUUCCAUGAUGAUGCAGUUGCCCUUUCCCUCUGCCAUCAAACAACAGAAAUACAGCCUACAGCCUACAGCUUACAGGGGUCCAACAUCUCAAUUCAUGUUGUCCCCCAACUUUCAUAAGCCAUCAUAAAAAAUAAAAAUAUGCAAACUUAUUAUGCUGGUUCAAUUGGUAAUACUAAAAUCAAGAAUGUAUUACAAAAUUCAUAUGACUAAUACUGCCUACUUCUCUUUGCUUGUUAGAAACUCCAAACCAGAUUGAGUAUUUGGCCAAAAAGGAAAAACUUUAGUAAUAAUUGUCUGAUGAUUAUAUCAAAAACCUGAAAUCGAUCAAUGUGACAACAAACCAAAUUUUCGCUAGAGAGCAAUGUUCUGUCUGUAGGGUAAUAUUUCAUCAAUGACAAAUCUUGUGUUCUUUCUUUCUUUCUCCAAAAGGCAGCUCAUGAAGAUUUUGCCUGCUUCAUGUCCGAACAGCCCUAGCUGUGCAAGCUUCAAUGCUUCAUAAAUAUUGUUACAUGUUGAUUACCCAAGGUGAAAAAGAUCGAUGCCAUUAUCAGACAUGUCCCUUCCCUUGGAAACACAUCAUGGGAUGUGUCUCUAGCUAGCUAGACUGUCCUUGGCAGGACAAAUUGAGCACGACAUGCAAAUUGACUGUCUCAUUUGCUUAGGCUGGCAUAGCUACUGGCAAAUGCUUGUUACCUCUAUAAAGAUCAUAAAUUCUUUGCCCUCCCCCCCAACAUAACAUUGAGUGCUAAAGUACUACAUUAUUCAAAUGGGGUAAGGGUGCUGAGUCAUGCAGAGUUAACAUCUUUCUCGAUUGGACUAAAAAGAGGAAGCAGGAUGGAAAGUAAAGAAGAGAAAUGAUCAUUUUCUAUCUUAAUUUAUAAAAACAAAUAUCAUUUUGAAUUAAAAAGAUUAUCCAUUUUUUUAAAGUUGCAAGAGAAUUUUUAAAUCUAAAAUUUUGUUCCUGACAACUUAAUCCUUUCAAAUAUUGAUGUCUGUAAGUUGUAAGAGAAUUAUGAGUUUAGGAUUCAAGUAUGCACUAUGAUAAGAGCGAAGGAGAUGGAAACACUAUGAUAAGGGUGAAGGAGAUGACAAGGCUGAAAAAAUCAUUCUUAUUCCAACCAUAUGAUUCAGUCAAAGGAGAAGGAAGAAAAAGCAUGGCUUUCGAGUUCUUUUUAAUUAGUGAACUCAAGAAUAGCAGCGUGCCUUUGCUAAGGCACGUGGCAAAGUUUUUGAUUUUUUUUGUUCGUAUAAUAGAGUGUCUUAAAUUUUAUUUUAAUUUUUUUGGUAAAAUUGUCCAAGAAGUUCUUAUACUAUAAUAUUUUUGUCAAUUUAGUUCAUGUAUUUGGACAUUGUAUGCAAUUGGGUCCUCUUGACUAACUCCAAUCAAAAAUUUUUUUUUUGAAAGGCAUAAGGAGAUUACAUUGAUAAGAAUGGAAAGAGAACUUCCCCUUUACAAACUCCAAUCAAAUUAACUGUGCUGAAUAGGGACCAAAUUACAAAAUAUAUGAAUUAAAUUGAAUAAAACUUUAUAGUGUAGAGAUUAAAUUGAACAAAAUUUUAUAAUACUGGAUUAAAUUGAAUAAAAUUUUAUAUUAGAGGGACUUUUUGAGUACUUUUACUUAUAUACCGAUUAUUAAUGGAUCCUAAAAAUUAUAGUUUCUGAAACUUAGAUUUAAUUUAAUUCACUUUGACAUUGUACACACAAUUUAGGCACAUUAGCAUCAUAAAUGGUCAAUUUAGACAAAGUUAGUUAAGAGGAUCCAAUUGCACACAUUAUCAAAGUGCAUGAAUUAAAUUGAUCGAUUUUUAGGUAGAGAUAUUAAAUUGACAAAAAACGUUAUAAUAUAGAAACUUUUUAAAUAAUUUGACCAUUUUUUUAGAUGAUUUAAGAGACAUUCUUUUAUAUCGAUUCAGUGUAAGUUAAAAAAUUAAUAGCUUAAGUGAAAUUUAAUAAAUUAAAAUCCACAUUAAAGUUAGUAUACGAUAUUUUAAUGAAAGGAUUACCAAAUUUAAGGCACAUCAGAUUUUUUCUCGAAUUUCAUUUUUUUACUUGAAAAGUAGUAUUUCGUUUUUGGUACAAUAAAUAAUAAAUUUUUUUAAUUUUGUGAAACGAUAAUCUAAAAGCCUCAAAAUUUAUUCAUCAAAAGACAAAAAAAGAAAAAAAGAAAAAAACAGGUAGCCAAUUAUUGAAUAUUGACCCGUGCAUUCUCAAGGAUAAACGCGGAGUUGUCACGUUUCUCACGUUCAUUUAACUACUCACUUUUUUAUUUUUUUUCUUUUUUUUUACCGAAAGUAAAAGAAUCUAAAUUUAAGAAAGGAUAAAAAAGUAAAAAUGCUAAGUUAGGCGAGAGAGGCUGUCUAAAUUAACUGUUAAAACUGUUCACCUCCUUGCUUUGUCCUGUCUUUUGACAGUUUCAAAGGUUUGUCACAUGGCUUUCUGUCCACCCUUCGAUUGGCCUUCCAUUAUGCAACGAAACUUCUUCCACAAUUUCCCUUUCUUCUCUCAAGCUUCUCCCUCUAUAUAACAACACACCAACUCACCCCUUCUUUGACCAAACCCUAUUUUCAUUGACAAAUUUAACUUCUCUACUACAAUUCAUCCUUGGCUGCCACGAUUUGUUCUACUCCGAGGCUUUGGUUGCAGAAGAAAUUGAGCAAAAGAAGGAAAAAAAAAAAGAAAGAGAAUUCAGAAAAUAUAUACUAAUUGCAGGAGGAAAUGGUGAGCGGUAUGAGAUACUUGCAAACAUGUGAGAAGGCACCAGCCCUUGUUAUUUCUCACAAGAAAUCGUCUACUCGUCCAAGAUUGGAGACCAUUGUUGAAGAGGGGUCUGAAUUGAACUUUGAGUUUGGACAGAAAAUGGUGUUCUUUCUUCUUCCUGCAUUUCUUUCUGUUAUCUCUUAUAUUUUGUUAUAUAGAGAUAUUGCUUGAUGUGGGAGUUUUAUAUGUUUUUUCAACCCUUUGUUUUUCCUUACUUAAUUAUUCUCUACAUCUGUUCUUUUUCUCUUUAUAUUUUAAUUUUGGUUGCUUUUUGAAUCAUAAAAAAAUAAAUAAAUAUUCAAGAAUCUGAUAUGGUAAAAACCCUUUAUUCCUCAUUGGAGUUCAAAGUGAUUACUGGGGAGAAAAAGAGUUUUGAUCUUGUUACAGGACAUCAUUGACAUGAUAAUUUACUAAUCCUGAAAUGGUAAAAUAAAUUUUAGAAGCAUUGCAAUUCCCAUAGACACCAUCCAAUGAAAAAAAGGGUCAGAUAUGACUUGUUAAGUUCCUUCAAUUGCAUUUUCCUUCAUUCAUCCAGUGAAAAAACCCAAAUCUGAAGCAUCUCGACACUGCAAAUCAAGGGGAAUUAUGAGUAAAAAUGGUGGAAUCUUGAAGCAUAAGUAGCUGAUCUACAACUCAACAUUAAUAACCCCACUCUUCAGUAUCUCAGCUUUUAUAUUUAUUGAAGAGUUGUGACUGGUAUAUCUAAUUUCUUUUUAAUGCCUAAGUAGCUGAAUAAUAGCCAAGAUCUUCUAAUAGUUAUGUUAAUGACUAAUGAUUAAUCUUGCUGAAUGAGAAGUUUUAUGAGAAGAGAGAUGAAUGAUGGGUUAAAGGAAAGAAAGUAUGCCUGGCUGAAGACUAAGGAAGCACUUUUAAUUUACUAUAUGACAAUCCUCAAUGAUAGCGUGUAGUGAUCAACAAUGCUAAAAAUUGGGAGUCAAAAUCCAACUAAAACUAUAAUUGUUUUCUACUUUGAAAACCCAAAUAUUUCUUAAUUGAGUAAUUGAUUUGUUCUCAGGCAAUUUGUUUUGUCCACAAGACUGUUUCAAAAGUCUCUUGGCCACUCAUUCCUCUUAGCUGAAUGCAAUUCUUCCUUCCCUUCGCUGCUCUUCCUCCAAAUUUAAGUUUACCCUUGUUCUAAGCUCAUCUUUCAUUAGCUCUCGAAGAUACCGGCACUAGAUAGACCAGUGUUGAAGAAGGGUACAACAACAUCAAAGUCUUGCCUAAUAGGGCAAUCUUUCUUCUUCCUGUAUUUCUUUCUCUAAUCCCUUAUAUUUUCCAGUUUAGACAUAUUUGAUGCGUCCAACAUUGUUUGAUCAAUGUUCUGGGGGGAAAUUCACCUGCAAAGCUUUUUUAGUUAAUUUUGUUAGAAAUCAUUUCUCUUUAAGCACAAGAUAGACGUUUCACUUGGCCCUUAAUCAAAAUACCAUGAGCGAGAGGACGGCAUGAACUUGCAUGAUCAACCUUACUAUCUGUCUAUGAAGUUCUCACUCCAAGUGCAUCUAAAUCUUGAUUCAGAUUCCAAUUCAUGUUACUCUGAAACUAAUCAAGCUUGGUAUGUCUUUACUGCUAAUUAAAGCAAAACAGCAGUUGAUAAAUUUUUCAGCAACAAGAACCCUAUUAUUUGUGUUGCUGCAAUGCUCGUUUUAACACUGUCCAAUUUAUUAAGAGCAUAAAAGUUUCAUGAAAAGAAUGGUUGCUAAAACGUUUGGUUCCUGUUUGCAUGCUUCCCCAUUAAUCCUUUGUCAGAAGGAGCUGCUCUUAGAUCACUUUUUAUUGUUAGAACAUUAUAAAAUCAAAUUCGUUACAACAAGAUAAUGUCCUGUUAAAUCAUCCACCUCUAAAACAGCUAUUAAGAUUUGAUUUUCUAAACUGAAAUCAAAUGUAACAAAAGAUUUUGGACCAUCGGUUUGGGAUUUGCUUCUCAUUUUCAUUUGAUAUGCAUGGAGCCAUGUUCUCCCUUGGGACACUCAUCCACUUUAUUUGACAACGAUUUCAUGCUGUCUUUAUCCAAACGGCCAGCAAAUUUGGUUAAAGUUGUUCUGUUUUUACCAGAUUCUUUCCUAUUCUAACUCAUUUCAUUAACAUUUUGAUGUCCUAAUUUUAGAAGCUGUCUGCAAUAUCCUUUCUACCGCUCUGCAAUUAACCGUCUCUAUUCAUAUCAAGACAUAGCUUAUCUGGGCUUUGGGCUCAUUAUAGAUUAGGUUAACAUUGUUAUCAACCGCUUGCUGUUUUGAUGGCUCCCCAUGAAACUUUAUAUACCAAGCUAUCACAAAUGAUUCUCCCCCAGGAACGAUACAAGCUUCCUGAUCAGCACCACUUUCUUUCUCCAUUAGCCUUUUUGCAUCAGAAGAAAGAGUUGCCAAAAACCUUUUUUUUCUUAUACAGAAAUGGUGAAGGACGUGAAAUCCAUGCAAAACUUGGGUGAAGUAGCACCAGCCCUUCUGAUAUCUCACCAGAAACCUUCAAGUUCUCCGAGAUUGGAGACCAUUGCCGAGGAAGAUUGUGGAGGUGUACGCGUGCCAAAGAGGGUCUUCAUUCUUCUUCCUCUUUUACUUUCUUUGUCCUUCUACGUUUUGUUGUAUAGGUACAUUGCUUAACAUCGAACCCUCUAUGGAAGGAAUUUGGAGGAUGGGCGAACACCAAAAGAAAAAUCAAUUGGCAAAGAAAUAGCCAAUAUGUAGAGCAUAUUAGCACAAUAUUAUGUCAAAGUCCUAUAGAUGUAAACUUCAUAUAUUAAAGUUAACAGUUUCAAGUUUCAUUAUUGUAUUGUAUAUGCUUUCUCUCUCUCUCUCUCACACACACACGCAUUAUAUGCCAUUGAAAACCAGUUUACGGUGGAAUACUAGAACAUUUUCAUCUAAAAAGAGCAGGAGAAUCCCCUGCCGCCACAAAAACAGGGCAGCUAAGGGAGCAGAUAAAGGAGAAACAAAUGUUGACAAAGCAAAAGCCAAGAAAAUACAGGAGCAGAUCAGAGAGAAAACAAACAGCUAAAUCAGCAGCGAAAAGAAGAACUAGAAUCAAACACAACAGUUGGAAUUGUCUUACACAAGAAGAAGGAAUUUUGAUUUUAAAGUUCAUAUUCUUAAAAGAUGGCGGUGGUUACAAGUCAUAAUUACAAGACUAAAGAGAUUCCACACCAUAAUUAACAAUUCUAGUGUCAGGCAAUGGAGAUUUCUUGUACUGUGCAGAGGACAAUUCUAUAAUUGACAAUCACAUUUUUCAAUAAAAAAAGGAGAUUUCUUCAAACUCAAAGUUUCCUUUCUAAUUUAACUAUAAAAAUAGAGAAAUGGAAAUUAAAUAUUGCAACUUGGAAUGACCUCCAACCCAAGCAAAACCAGGUCAAGACGGUCAAGUCAUACAUAUAAUCUCAGGCUGAAAACUUUGAAAGUGGCAUCUAGAACUAGAAGCAACCAUUGGACGUGUAGCCAUAAGAAAAUGUCUAGUUGGAUCCAAUGAUCUUCAAGCUUUAAGGAACUUUCUACAUGUCAAACUCGAUUGAAAUGGAGAAAUUAAAUUGGAAGAAAAUUAAAACAAAUAAAAAAAAUUAACUGGUGAUAAUCUGGGUUCUUGUACGUGGCUUUGGCCUUAACACCAUCUGGACCUGUUUAUCAGAUAUCCAAUUUUUGCAUAUUACUUUUUGGAUAACUUAAAAGUUAUAGGCCAACCUUUCCUAUGUUUACCAGAAACACCAUACCAACCUAGGCCUAUGGCUUGAAAGCUUUUGUUCUUUCCUUUUUCAUUCAGCAACAUAACCACAAUUUCAAUUGUUCAAUUCAUUUAUUUUUGAGUACCCUAAAAACACUAGUUAUUACCUCAGUAAUUGCCUUCAUUUUUCCUCCCCAAAAUUGAUAGCACUAAGCUUUCUAUUAGAUUUAAGGUUUGAUGGCUUGGUGGUUGCAUACCUUUAAGACCAGAAAGAGAGAAAUAAAUCGGUGGAUGAUAACUAUUUUUUAUUGGCAUUCCAUAUGUCAACCUGUUAACCAGAAAUCGUUAUAGGUUCAAGUCAAUACUCUUAACGACCAAAAUGAACAAGUAAAAACUCAACUCGAGAAUCGAGGCAGUUUCUUUCAUUCUCUGUGUGAUUUUUCUUGCGAUUUCUCUCAUUUUCUAUCUCAACAAACAAAGGAAAAGAUAAACGAAAAGAAAAGAAAAAGUAAAAGCUCUUCAAAUCAGAGACCGAGAGAGGUUAUUGCAUUGAUAUGAUAAAACAUUGUUUACAAAAUUGGGACAUUCCAAAGAAGAUUCUUCCAAAAUAUUUGAAUACACUACCCCAUCUCACAUUCUCACAGAUUACAAUGCUAUAAACUUAUGGAACAUUGAUCUCUCCUUAAGCAUUCAGUUGUUUGUUUGUCCAUUUCCAUGAUUCUGAUCAUGGAGCCCAACACUCUUAACUUGUAUUUGAAGCCUCUCUCAAGCAAAGCAAAUUACAACAUGAAGAUUGAGCCAUUGUUUCCAAAAUCCUAUUCAAGCAAAAACAUUGGAAGGUUUCAUGCACAAAGAGUCGCCUCCUUGUAUAGGAAGAAAUAGAAAACCGUAGACAAGACCACGGGAAGAACAAGGAAGACUUUGUUUGAAAAAACUGCAUGGUAUUCACACCCUUCUUCAUGAAUGGUCUCUAGCCUUGGACAAGUCGAGGAUCUUCUUGGACAAAUGAGAGGGGCAGGCGCUACUGCACCCCAGUUUUGCUUGUAUCCCACCUUUUUCAUCAUCUCUAAAAUUGAUCAAAGCUUAUCAAUAUUGCUGUUUUUCUCUUCUUAUAUUGAGAACAAGCUGUUUUCGUUUGGUUUUUGAUGAUGGGUUCGGGUGAUUGAAGGAGAUUGUAAAGGGGCUCUUGAGAGAAAGAUUGAUAUUCGAGGAAUGGGUUGGGGAGAGCUUGGAGAUGAAAGAAGAGUUUAUAUAGAGGGGGAUUAAGAUGGUUUCCCAGUGCUUAAAAUAAGGAAAGUCGAAAGAAAAAGACUGAAGUUGGUUGGCAAUUUAGACCACAACAGACAAGAAUAUUUAAAGAUGGAGGUUUACCCACGUGAGCAGUGAGCCACGGUCUGGCCUUGUCUUUCCUAUUUUUAAUUCCAUUUUUCGUUUUGGCAAGCUGUCUUUUCUGGUUUUCUAAAGGACAGUUGAAAGAAUUUCAUAUGCAAUUAAAGAUCCUUUAGGAAGAUUUCAUUGGUCAAAGAAAAUCUUCUAGAUCAUUUAUAUGUCAACUGAGGUUUAUUAUAUAUCUUUUUUUUGGGGUGUGCAAUUUAGGACUAAUCUAUAUAAAACCAUGAGCUUUUCCCUUCUAAACCAUUGGGCAUCUAAUGUCGAGAAAUUUAGUUCAUGCCAUUUCGGUUUUUCUUAGACACCUUUUCUUUUGCCUAUGUCGAUAAGUUUCUAUAUUAAAUUUCUUCACAUAUGAUGAAGACAAGACAUAAAAGUUUCCCGAAGGAAGAGGCAAUUGGAUGCCUUCCUUCUGCCAUAAGAUCAAUGGUCCAUCCUUGUGAUGUUCAACUAACCAAAUUUCGGCCUGUAAUUUAUGGAUAAGGAUUAGAAAAAAAAUAAAAUAAAAUAAAAUAGGACCCCAAGGGGUGAAGAAAUUUGCAGUAAAAUUAUAUGGUUGGUGUUCAUAGAAUUGCCACCAUCCUCAAAUUGACUUAGCAAUACACUUCACGCUCAGAUUAUAGACCAAUAACAAAGUGACAAAUUUUGCUUAGUCCACGUUGCGUUCCCUGGCAGACAUGACGAUACGUCAAACAAACCCGACUGCCCCUUUUCAAGUUUCAACGCGGUUUGAUUGAAACAGAGAAAGCGGCCAAUUGGGAAGCGCGGCCUAGGUCAAUGAAGACUGAGAGGUUGCUGCUUGGCUUCCCUUCUGGCUACUGAUCUCAGGAUCUGGUUAAGUCUAUCUCUUUAAGUCUUGAUUUUUUCUUUUCAUUUUCUCUUAGUGGGACAGUGGCGCGUGCAGUGGAUACUAACUUCACGUGUCUAUACAUUGUGGUAGAUUCUUGUCUCUUUCCAAAGCUAUACUAUCAUGUACAAGACGAUAAUAGAUCAGGGAAAUGACAAAACCAAUCAGGGUUUUGCAGGGCCACUGCCGACCUAACAUCUGUCCUCAGCUACGGAGAAGAGGGGUAUUUUAACAUUAUUGUAUGCGAACGUAAAGGAAAAUUCAGAGGGUAUCUAUUUCACAUUGAUUUGUCACGUACAGCACUGGCCUGAUAGUGUUUCUUUUGUCAAGCUAUUAACAUGUACAGCCAGCUGAAAGACAUUCAAAUUUUUCUCUUGCCCUUGUUCCUAACUAGUCACAAAGGGAAUUGCCAACUGUUUUUCCGAAUUACAGUUUGAAAUCACUUACUGUUUUGGAAGUUCAAUAUGUAAGAUGUAUCUCAUCCCUGGAAUCACACUGAAAGGCUUUUCCUGUUCCAAGGUAAAUAAAUCGUGUCCCCGUAAGGCCUGCAAACAGAAAGAUUCUGGCUAAUUAAGGCCGUUAUGCGGAUUAAAAGAUGUGUCAUGCAACAUUUUCGGAAAUCUAGAAACGAGGUGAUAUCCAAGGAGAGUUAUUUUAUAACUCUAAUAUUUUGUGAAGGAAAAAUAGUUGCAGAUAAUAUAAGCAACAAUAGGUCCUAGAAUGAAAGUUUAGAGAAUUCAAAAUUAUGUUGUAUAUUACCUUUGAACUUUUACCUUCGAUAUCUUAGAUGUAGCAGCAUGAAGACAAGGGCGAGGAUAAGAGAAGAAGAACCAACAAAGACAUAGGCAAGACCAAGGAAGUCAUUCUUUCCCCCCAACCAGCUUGAUGUUGAAAGUACAAGCUUCUUUUUACCACUAAAACUGUACGUGUUGUAAUUGUUCAUUAGGUGGACCACUACAACAUCAUCCACAUCCAAAUCCUCUUCAAUUCUCCCAUACAAUUUUCGGAAGCUAGGGAGAGCAGAUAUACGCAUCCAUACGAUAAGAUCCUCCUGAUCGCUUAGCUAAUUAUUUUCAUGCAUCCAUUCACCGGUACCAAGAAGAGCAAGAAAAACAAAACCAAAAGAUUAUUUUAUAUCUCAAGCUUUAGCUGAAUACAUAACUUAAAAUGAACCGGCUGUAUUAACAUAAUGAAAAGAAAAAAAGUGGUACUUGCAGGAUAUCUGCUAGUUGGUUGUUUCGGAAACAGGUGUUGUGAGUAGUAAACAAGUAAUUUUGUGCUAGACAACAAGCAUCAGAAAGACCAUAAAGAAAGUCUAUGUACAAAGCUAAUACUUACAGGAAUUCUUGGAUUCAGCUUUCCACCACCAAUCAAGGUUCCAUUCUGGAAAUUGUAAGGAUAUACUUUCUUUCCAAACUUGUGAUCCCGGUCACUUUUCCAGGCAAUGUUCUUUCUGUUGACCUUGAGUUCUGCUCUCUCACGAAUAAAUUUAAAUGUAUCAUUAAAUAAACUCCAUGCUACCAACCCGCAAGGAACAAUAGCAUGAUCAUUGUUGAACUCUACAGGUUGACAGGAACUUGUGCCAUGAUACUUCCGUCCAUGUAAGAGUUGCUGAUCACUUCUACUUUUGACAUACCUGGAAACAUUUAAAACCAAUGAAGUGCAGAUUAAAGAAAAAGUGGAGAUUAAACCAAGAAUAACUUGAAAUUUGGACUAAUUGUAAGUAACACACAAGUAAACUACUAUGCUAAAAAUAAAUUUCGUAUGCGGGCUCAACCAUGAAAAGUUAUUUUAACCACUGAAGGCAAAAGUAGUGCAAGAAGCCCCUUAAUAGUUCAUUAAACAAUUUAGUGGCUCCAGAUCAAAUUAUCAUCAAUGUUGAUGAAGCUAAAGCAUUAAACUCAUCAAGUGAAAGAGCCCGCACCGUCGAUGGUUCUGGUAAUAAUUAUCGAGCUGAUAGUAAAUGUAAAUCGGAGCUUUCAUGUACUUGUGCACCUGCAAAGCAAGUUAUAGAUGCAAAAUUAACAAAUAUGAAAAAAAAAUUAGAAGGGACAAGCAUUUCACAGUGAAUAAAAGUUUUCGACCUCAAUCCAUGGAGUAUAUAAACAAAGAAGUGCCACCAAAAACCAGUAACAUGCAGUUUACUAAAGACCUCAGGAAUGACAUUCUACUAAGAAUAAUGCACCUACACAUGAAGCGAGUAGCUGUUUCUCUCUCAGCAUCCACCCAUAAAAUAAAAAUGACUUACUAAGUAUAUGGUAAAAAAGGAUAGAAAGAAAAACUAUCUACAGAAAAGUGAAGAAAUGACCAGAAGUCAAAGUGUUGGAUACUUCAAAAGAAAGAUAUAAGUUAAAAGUAAAUGUUCUAAUCUUCCUCAAAUGUGCAUUUAAUUUAAUUGAAAAAGAAAGUUAAUUUAAUUUUAUCAACUACUUCGAGUAUGAUUGACACAUUAGAGCAACGAGAAGUCAAUCUAGAAAUACAGAAUGUUUUAAGGCUAACCAUUAGUUCAGUUACCCUUACUUCCAAUUCCAAUAAACUCCACUGCCACAGGUAAAAAGAGAUUUUAAUUUAUAGUAAAUUUCAAAGGUUGUGAUAGGAAUAUGUACUUCUCCAGAAAGAAAGAGACACUCAGUCAAUGACAUUCUCUACAGCAGCUUAAUGCAUUCUAAUGACUAAAAGAAAUGGUUGAAGAUAUAGCUUGGCGUAGAUUGAAAUGCAAGGCACUUUCCAGUAGCAACUCCCAAUGGUCAGGGGAAUAUUCUGAACCCCCUAAGCCAACUCAUAUAUAAACCAGAAUACUUAAAAAGGUAGCAUAGAUUUUCACACUGAAGAUAGAUUCUAUGCAGAAAGGAAGUAUCACCUUCAAGAAACGAGAACAGUUCUUCGGAAUCGAGUCAUCCUGGACAUAUGAAACUUUAUCAAUUCUAAAUGACUCAGGAACACAUUCAGCAUCAUAUCGGUCCACAAUUUCAACAACCUAACGAUCAAACAAAAAAGGUUAUUCACAGGUAUGUUCUCAAUAUAACAAUGAAUGCUUGGAAAAGAAGUGUACUAAACAGCCACAUUAGAUGAGAAGAGCCAUAGAAUGGACAAUUACACUACGAGAAGCACGCAGGGUAACAAGGCCAACAGGAAUGAAAAUGCAACCCGUAAACAAAAAUAUUGUAAUAACCUGCAGAAAUGAAGAUGACAGCCAUCAAUAAAAUUGGGGAAAUUACCAGCACUGGAGACAGCCAAUAUUACAAAGUGCAAGAUAAACAUUAGCCAAAGAUGAAUAAAGCAUUCAUGUAUUAAAGAUUGCAGUCAUGCUCUCACCCAUGCUGGUGUCAGGACAGGUUUGCAAGCUGGAAGUGUUUGCUGAGUAAACUUAUAAAAAGCUGCAAAACCACCAUAGCAAGAUCAACAAUAUAUUAAUGAGGCAAUAUUUUAUUGCUCACCAGACUACGUAGCAAGUUGCAACCAGAAACCCGAAGAGAGAUUAAUUCUAAAAGAAAAAUAAAAGAGAAAAUGAUUGUAGACAGCUUUGCCACCACUUUAUAUAAUAUAGUAGUUCAGAUAUGAAGGCAAAGAUCAAUGAAAGGCAGGCAUAAAGUCAAAUUUUAUGCUUGUUUAUUGAUUAUCCAACCCUCUGCUGUUAGCACAACUAUCAAUUCAUUUCACUCUUUUCAAUGUCUUGUGACCAAGCAUAGUCUCCAAGAUGUAACAAAUCAUUUCUCGCUUGUAUCAGACUUGUACAUUGUGCUAAUGUUUGUGCAGACAUACAUAAAGAACAAAAGGACUUGUAUGCUGUAUCAGCUAUGUUUGUUUAUAUGUCUUCACAUGAACAUGGAGCUUGAGCACAUGCAUGUGCAGAUAGGCAAGCAUAAGUAUGCAUGCGUCUAGGUGGUAGUGGGUAUGUAUGAAUCUAAAUAAAAAAAAAAAGCAACAAAAUUAUUAAAGCAAAAGCCUCAAGUACCAAAAAUAAAAGAAGAGUGAAAUAGCAAAAGAAAACCUGUUUCCUUGUUUCUGUCUCUCUCUUGAUCUGUAUCCGUCAUUUCUCAAUCUAAGCAGUAAUGCUCAACCACUACACUAAAUAUUGUAAUCCUUUCAAGCGACCUUUGAGUUUCCAUAUAACAACACAACAAAAAAUAGCGCCCUUUAGACAACUCACACCAGAAAUAAAACUUCAUUUCAAUCUGUUUGUGAGAAAAGGAAACAAAAACUUCUAUAAUGUAUUUUUCUCUGUGCACUUAUACCUAAAACUCAGAAUUAAAACCUACUAUUAUAGAAGAUCAUUCAUCUAAAUCCUACAUUUCAUCAUCUUCAUAGUUCAGUUCACUUCAAACAUUUCUCUGAACACAUACAUUUUACAGAGUAAAUUCCACAUUCCAUUUUCUUCCUUUUCCCAAUUUCCUUCCCUUGGUUACAAACGGAUAAAUGUACUUCCAAUUAAACUCAAACAGAUAGUAAUCUCUUCUUAGCUCUGAAUCUAACAUCUUUGUUUUGCAAUUUCCCAGCAAUCAAAGACAGCAUAAAGUUACAAAUUGAAAUAUAUAAUGAUUUCACCAAUCCUGAACCUAAUAUUCCACCCCAAAAGAUAAAUAAAUAAACAAAUAAGAGAGAAAAAUCUGAUCUAUGAACCUACACUAUGAUUUAUUGAGUAGAAUUUCUUUUGUACUAAUUUGUUCAAGACCUAAGUGAUAAACGAUUCCCUCCAAAAAAAAAUUCUUGUUUUCACUUUCUUUUCCCUCGCAUUUUCUCGUUAGCCAAACAUGGAAGAGUAAGAACCUUACCGAAAAAGUCAGCUUGAGCGAACUUGCGGCAAUUUCUACAGCUUUGAUCAGAUAAAAAGGAAAAAAGAACUUGAAAAUGAGGAUAAGAUCGAAUGAAAGGAAAAAUGAAGCGAAAAUAAGAGAGUAAGUUUUACCUAAUGCGAUGAGACUCAAUUGAGAAAUUUGAAAAUGGGAGGUCCGUUAGGGUUCUUUUCUUCUUUCUUUUUUUUUUUUCCUUUUAUUCGUUAAUUGAAGAGGAAGUGAGAGAUUGCUUUGGUCGAGGAAAUUGGAAUAUUUUGAAUCUAUAUAAAGAAAGAGAAAAACUGUAUUUCAAUUUUCAAGAGGGAAAGGACAGAUGUCAAGCAACGGAAAAUUAAAUAAAUAAAGGGCGGUUGAAAAUUCAUUUUUCUUCUUUUCUAAUAUUCUUCUAUUAUUAUUAGUUUAUUUGGAUCUCACUUUAAGCUUUAUUAUUUAUUUUCUCAUUCUUAUAAAGAAAAGAAGUUUUGGUAUUAAAAAGCAAAAUUAAAAUCUUAAAUAUAGUUGUUAGUAUAUCUAAAUAAAUCAAACAUUUUGUUAUUAACUAUUUAAUUUAAUUAUUUUAUACAAUUUAUUUUUGUAUUUUAGACAUUAAAUAUUCCUUCUUUCUCGCAACAAACCAAACAAAGCAAAAUAAAUUAAAACAAAAAUUAAUAUUGGCAAGGAAAAUUAUUAGUAUAAAUUACAAAAUAACAAAGGCCAUAGCCUCCCAAAAUGCUCUCCACUCAAACAUGCUUCCCGCUCAACGGUCAAGACAUUUUCUCUGCUCUUUCCCCCACUUUCCUGCCACCCAAACAAGGCUUUUUAGCAGCACCUUCUCAUCUCUACUAAACCUUUGCAAGAAACCACAGCAUCUACAACAAAUCCAUGCAAGAUUCAUCCUCCAUGGCCUGCACCAGAACCCAACACUUUCCUCUCAUCUCAUUGAUUCCUAUGCCAACUUUGGCCUCCUCAACCUCUCUCUGCAACUCUUUUAUUCCAUUACCAACCCAAGUUCUCGUCUUUAUAACACAAUUUUAAGAAAUUUGGCGACUUUGGGUGAAUAUGAAACGACCCUUUUGGUUUACAAGGACAUGGUGGUAAAAAAAUCUGUGUACCCUGAUGAGAAGGCCUACCCUUUAGUUCUAAGAGCUUGUUCUUGUUUGUUAGAUGUUGAGUGUGGGAAAAUGGUUCAUGGGCAGUUGGCAAAAUUGGGUUUUGAUUCCUUUGAGGUUGUGGGUGAUGCUUUGGUUGAGUUCUACAGGGGAUUUGGUGAGUUCGAGCAAAAGGUGGUUGAUGAAAAGCCUGUUAAGGAUUUGGAUAAUUGGAAAAGUUUGAUAUUUGAGCCACCUCGAAGUGGAAGUUUGGUCUCUAUGAUUAAUUUGUUGAGGGCAAGUGUUGAUUUGGGUUCAUUGGAUGCAGGCAAAGCUGUUCAUUGUUUGGUUCUAGUUAGUGAUUUAAGUAAGGAUUUGUCUGUGAAUACCGCUUUAUUGUCAAUGUAUUCAAAACUAGAUAGUUUGAAAUAUGCAAGGUUGUUAUUCAAAAAUAUGCUGGAGAAGGACCUUGUUGUGUGGAAUAUAAUGAUUUCUGCUUAUUCUCAGCAUGGAAAACCUAAGGAAUCACUUGCACAAUUGAGGUGCAUGGCAAAUUCUGGGGUUAGAGCUGAUUUGUUCACCGCUAUUCCUGCUAUUUCCUCGAUUAGGCAGUUGAAAUCCUUUGAGUGGGCCAAACAAAUCCAUGCUCAUGUUAUAAGAAAUGGUUCAGAUUAUCAAGUGUCGGUUCAUAAUUCUCUUAUUGAUAUGUAUUGUGAGUGUGACUGUUUAAUUUAUGCGAGAAAGAUUUUUGAAAAUGUAACAAGCAAAACUGUGGUUUCAUGGAGCUCAAUGAUCAAAGGAUAUGUAAGCCAUGAUCAGAAUCUUGAUGCCCUUUCUCUUUUCUCCAGGAUGAAAACAGAUGGAGUUAAAACUGAUUUCAUAACAGUUAUCAACAUCUUGCCUGCAUGUGUGAAUAUAGGGGCACUAGAACAAGUAAAAUGCCUUCAUGGGUACUCAAUGAAGUUUGGUCUGAAUUUGCUAUCCUCUGUUAAUUCAGCAAUUCUUAUAAGUUAUGCAAAAUGUGGAUCCAUAGAAAUGGCCAGAAAGCUUUUUGAUGAAGAAAAAGUUGAUGGUAAGGAUAUCAUAACAUGGAACUCUAUGAUCAGCGCGCACUCUAAGCAUGGGGACUGGUCACAAUGUUUUGAGUUGUAUAAUCAGAUGAAGCAGUUGAAUCUGAAACUGGAUCAAGUUACCUUUCUUGGGCUACUGACUGCUUGUGUCAAUUCAGGCCUUGUUAAAGAAGGCCGGGCAUAUUUUAAGGAGAUGAGGGAAAUCUAUGGUUGCCAACCGAGCCAAGAACACUAUGCCUGCAUGGUAGAUUUACUAGGGCGUGCUGGACAUAUCAAAGAAGCGAGAGAACUUGUCAAUGAAAUGCCGUUCAAACCAGAUACUCGAGUGUUGGGCCCCUUGUUGAGUGCCUGCAAGCUACACUCUGAGACCAAGUUUGCAGAGUCUGCUGCUGAGAAACUUCUACGAAUGGAACCAGAAAAUGCUGGAAAUUACGUUUUACUCUCCAACAUAUAUGCAGCUGCAGGAAAGUGGGAUAAAUUUGCUAAAAUGAGGAGACUUCUUAAAGAGAGGGGACUAAAGAAAAUCCCUGGCUGUAGCUGGCUACAAAUAAAUGGACAUGUACAUGAGUUUCGUGUUGCCGACCAAUCUCAUCCAAAAGCAAAGGACAUAUAUGCUUUAAUAGGAAUACUAGAGUUUGCAAUCAAGGAGGCCAGAGAUCACACUGCUGGGAAAGUUUCUUAAUGAUCAUUUUGUUCACUGCAGAAUUCACAACAGAUUUUAGGUGGUGCAGAUCGCAAGUGAUUGACCUUUAUAAUUUGCAUGAAGUUUACACCAAAGAUAUGGCCAAAAGAGGCUAGAUUCAAGGAAGAAAAUGAAGCAGUAAGCAGAUCCAGUUCAGCUGGCAUUUUGUGGUGCCUUCUGUUUUGAACCAGCUAAGAUAAGGCAUUUUCAGGUUUGCAGUAAGUUUCCUCCAUGAUUUCUUAUAGAUUUCACUUCAACAUGCAAGCCAGCUAGAAAUACUCAGGAUAUGGCUUGCCGGCGCUGCUCCCUUAUCAGACAUCGCUGGCAGCCUUUCACCAUUUCCAUGUGAGAACCUAAAAUGAGAAGUUGCCAUGUUUGAAGCUCUUCCAAAGUUCCUAGCAUCCUGUGCAUAGGAGGUGCGUUUUCUGUGGUAGUUCCAGUGUUAGAUUUUGUCAUUGAUGUAUUGCUUUAACUUCUGUAGAAGUACCUACUUUUUCAAAUAUUUAUUAUGCUGCCUAAAAUUGUGAACAUCCUUUGUCUAGAGUUCAUUCAAUGAGUUAGAUCAGCCCGGGGUUGAAUAAUGAACUAGUUUUGUUUCCAUAUUGAAUCACUACAGGUUUAACCUGGCUGAAUGUGGAUGACCAGUUCCAUUCUAAGAACAGCCGGGAGAACCUGUAUAACAAAUGAUUACUGGAUUUUAUUCUUCUUUUUUUUUUUUUUGGCAGGCGGGGUGGAACAUGACAGUGUGCUUUGCACAGGUAAGUCACGAAAUGGUAAUCUUAGAUCUUUACUACAAACACCACCACCAAUUCUCACAAGGCAUGUUUGCGAUGUUUUAUAUAUGAUUCUAGUGAAAUUCAGUCCUUAAGCACUUGUUGGAUUCUUUGAAUUGCCAAUGUUAGUUUCUCUGGUUUUGCUAAUGUCAACGUGCAGACGUUUUUAUAGUUUGGGCGAGAGUUGCUGAUUGAUUUUGGAUAAAUGCUUUGGCCAUGGUGUUCUGAGCAAGUACAAUGAUAAGACAAAAGGCAGCUUCACCCUUGCAUGAAUCCAUGGAAAUUACUCCAGAAGAACACAGAUUUAAAUAUACUCUUAAUUAAAACUUUACCGGGAAACAAUGAUUGAAAGUUUUGCCCCAUUGCAGAAACAGCAUUGCUAUGCACAUGCACGUGCACAUAUCAAUUUAUCCAAUUCGUAAUCAAUCAUUGGAACGAGAUGUAUAGUGAGCUGAUAAUGUUGGUUGGGGAUAUUUGUAACGGAUGGCAUUUCCCACUUAAAUGCAGCAGUGCUAUGAGAAGAGAUGCUGCGGGUUUGCUGUCAUGAUACCUCGAAGAACCAAAUGUACCUCACAGUUACUUUGUAUUAUUUCAGUUGCAAGACUAGAUGAUGUACAAAAUUUUGGGACUGAUUGGUCUCCACCAUGAAUAUUAAACACCCUAAAGAUUCUCUCUUGCAAGCCUGUUCUUCUCAGUGAUUGGACUACAACCGUCGCUUCUUAAAUUUUUUUCCUUCCAAUCAUAUGCAUAUGAGUUUAACUCAAACUCAAAGCCAUGAUCAGUCCACACUCCCAAGGAUUGCUGACAAUUGGCAUUCUUCAUAACAUCUGGUCAACCCACUAACAUUGUUGUUUACAUAUUGGAAAAUUUGAUGAGAACCUCAACAUUGAACAGAUUACAAAGUGUAAAAUUAAAUAUAAAAUGAUAUAAAAUAACAUCCAUUAUCAAUAUGAACAUAAUUAUCAAUAGUCAAAAUUGAUUCAUUGGAUCAACAAGGCCCAACACUGACAGGAGGUUUUUCAGCAACCAUGACAGCUCUUAAAACCUCGUCUUGCACUAUUUGUUAUACAUCUUCUGCAUCACUCUGCUCUUCUUUUGGAGCACUCUUUCCAAUCCGUGGUCGUUUAGAAGCUGAGAAAGGAAUAGAAAAUCAUUGAAUACCAAUUACAAUUCACAAUAAAGCAAGCAUGAGGUUCAGAAACACCCACAAAUCAUCCAGAAAAUGCUAGCAAAAUAUAAGAUAAUAGAAUGCUUCAGUAUCAUAAUCUUUUAACAUUGUCAGCAUAACAUGCUAUUGCGAAAUAAAAGAGCAAUACAUAGUGCAUAAAUAAUUAAAUACACACUCCAUACACAGUUAACAGAGUCCAGGAGGUCAAUCCCAUCAAAAGAAGCUCCUGUAGGAACUUAUGAUUAGAUAAUUCCAUUAUUUUACAACAGCUUGCAACGACAAUUAGAAAGGUAGCAUUGAUGGCAAUGAGAGACAACAAUAGCCAUAAAUUUACAAGAUGAACAAAAUGUGUAAAUAAUAUAUAAGAACAAGCAGGAUACUCACAUUGGAGAGAAGAUCCAGCAAGACAAGUUAGCCUGGACUUUGUAUUAGCCUCAGCCAAUGGGUUUGGCUUCCCUUUGAUGGCCAUGCGAACAUCCCAAACACGUAUAAACCCAUCAGAUGAUGCAGAUGCUACUAAGUAUGGAGCAUCAUCAACACCACCAUCUUUGGUAAGCACAACAAUACCUUUUACACGGGUAGAAUGUGCAUCCUCGAUGCAAUAAGCAACCUUCCCACUGUUCGUGUCCCAGGCUGUAAUACUACGGCUCUCACCACCAGUAAAUAAAAUUCCACUCUGCCAAAAUCAUAACAUGCAUACAGAAAUUCAAAUUAUAAGUAAAAAGAGAGCAAAAAACAUGCAUAAUGGAACAAGUAGCAUAAGAGGACUUAGAGAUAUUUGUCAGAAAUAUAAGUUAAGCAACAUCAGAAUCCUAUAAGUUCAUCCAUUAUAACAUUCUUCUUUCAGGUAUUAAUUUACCCAGCUUUGGAAGAAUGCUGACAUCUCAAAGAACAGCUUUAUCUUUGACAUGAAACUAAGCCCCAUCAAAAUCAUGUCAUUCAAUCUUCUAAGACGCUAACUAACACAAUUUACAUACCUAUAAAUCAUAAAACAGUAGAUUUGUACCAAAAAUGGUUUAGCUAAAAGGUGAAUGAAUUAAGCUUGUAGCUGUUGAUCUUUUUGCUCUCUUCUUCCAUAAACUUUUUAGCACAACAUUAUCAACUCAUACUACAAUCGAAUCAACCAACAAUAAAUAGCUAAAACACUAACAGCCCACUACCAAAACAUUCAAUUCCUAACAGUCUUACAAUUACAUACACAAACAUAACUCAUAUGCCUAAAACUCUCUAGAAAUUUAAAGCAGUAAAUUUUCUACCAAAAAUUUUCCAUUUUCCUCCAUUUCCUCAACCAACAAACGUAAUAAUUAUAUUUCAAAAAAGUUUUUUAUUAAAUAAAUAAAAAAACUAACCUCCCCAGAAGCAGCACAAAGAACCCGUUUUUCAUUCUCCAACUCAUACAACAACCUAGCAUCUUCAGCCAAAUGAACUCCAAUUUUCUCCUCAGACGCCAUAAAAAACCUGUCUCCACUCCCAUCAAAUUUAACGAUCGUCGCUUCCUUCCCCAACCUACAACAAAAGCUCCUUUUCCCUCUCAUCAAAUUCGACAUAGCCAAACACCCAUCACGUGAGACACUCAAUGCAAGCUUCCCAGAAGAAUGAACAGCCAAAUCAUUGAUACCCUUUUUAUGGGACCUAAAGGACUUGAGAAGAACAAAGGGUUCGGUGUCGAAGAUGGAGGUGGAGCCAUCAGCGGAGGCGGAGAGGAGGUUGCGAGGGAAGGAGAGGUUGGGAGGGGAAUAGAAGGAGAGGGCAGUGAUUGAGGAGGAGAAGUGGUGGAGGGGACCCAGGGAAGCGGCGGUGGAGAGGUCGUAGAUGUGGAUGGUGUCGUCGGAGGAGCCCGACGCAGCGGCGGGACCAGCGGCGGCUACGGUGGUUAUGGGGGCGUUGUGGGAUGGGUAGGAGAAGAGUUGGGUUAGAGUGAGGGUCUGAGAAGACGGGUCGUAGUUUAAGGGCUUCAGUCUGAAGCCCCAUAUAAAACGUUCGUAGGAACCUGCUAUCAGCGACAUGGCUACGGCUGCGGGGAUUAUCGAAGGGAGAGUUGGAAGAAAGGGUUUAGUUUGGGUUUAACUAUGUCGGGCCCCGUGACCCUCCAUGUUGACAAAAAUGCCCGCUAGGUUUUUUAUUUCUUUGAAAAUUUAAUGUGAUAAAAAAUUUAAAAAAAAAAGGUAAUUGCCCUGACCUUGACUUUAAAAUUUGGCUCAAAUAACAAAAAAGUUCUUGAAUUAUAUCAAUUUUACAAUUAAACUCUUUUAUUUUUAUGGUACUCAAAACAUCAAUUUUCUUUUAUUUGUACCUAAAGAAAAUUUUAUUUUUUUGAUUUUAUUCGAAGAAGCCUUAUUUCUAACGAAAAUGUAAGGGACAUUAGCCUUAAUACCAACUGUUACUUGUCACGUAAGAGAGUGGUUGCCAUGAAUUUGUAUGUUUCUCGUUUCACAUGUUGCAUAUUAAUUAAAGGCAAUUGGUUAGGUAAAAUAUGCAAUUAAGGUAAAAAAUUGGAAAAAUUGACUUGGGAGAAAAAGAAGAAGACUUCUCUCUGAUUUUAAGUAAGGUGUGUUGGGUUUUUGUCUUAUUUUUUUCUUUCAUUUUUUACAGAUUAAUGUGUUAUAUAUAUAUAUAUAUAUAUAUAUAUAUAUAUAUAUAUAUAUAUAUAUAUUGAAUAGCAUUUAGAAUUUAUAUUUAUGGUUUGUUUUAAAAAUGAGUACCAUAUACAUGCUGGAAAUUAUAGAAUUGAUUUCCAAUCUCAAGUUGAUCUUCUUUGUUAAUAGUUUCUUUGUGUUUGCAUUUGCUUAGUGGUCCUGCUGUUGACAUAAUAUUGCAAUUGUUGAUUAUUUGGUCGACUUAAAAUGGAUUUUAUUGGUUGGAAGAAUGACUUUUGUUGAUUGGACCACUAUAUUUGUGUAUAGUUUUGUCGAUAAAAAAUAAUAUGGUUGGACCAUUGAUGUUAAUCAAAAUUUAAUUCAUAUGUUGGAUGUUGAGGUGAUAUAUUUAAGUAGAAUUUUUCAUAUUGGUAAAUUUGUGCAUUCUUCAAAAAUAUUCUAUUUGGAUGGUAUGGAAUAGGUUAUCAUUUUGAUAUAGAAAGGUUUAUUAUAGAGUUAGGGUUUUGAAUGUGUCAUUUUUUUACUUUAAGAUCUCUGAGAUGGAAUUUUUUAAAAGAUUGAUGUUGGUAUUUGAUGAUGAGAUUGUUCUAGAUUUAAUUGCUAUGCUGACAAAGUGGGAUUCUAUAGAUCUAGAUGUUGUGACCACGUAGUUAAUUAACAAGCUUGAUCUGGUAGAUGGCAUUCUUUUUACUCCUUGAAUAUGGAAAUAUAGAGGGUGAGGAAGCUGAGGAUAAUGUUGAGGGUGACCAUAAGGAGAGCAACAAGGUUGAAGUCAAUAAUGACAUAAAUGCCUCUAUGGACGAUGAGGAUAAUUUAAAUGAUAAUGAGCUUGGUAAGUCUAGCAUUAUUGAUGGCAUUGGUGAGAUAGUGAAUAAUUGAUUAGAAAUUACCUGGAAUUAGGAGAUACUUUAUAGUUGGUGUUGAGUGUUUAAUGAAAAUUAAAUGAUGAUGAGGAAAUCCGAGAGAUUAGAAAAAGAAUUCAAACAGAAAAGAGGUAAACAGAAUGAUGACUUAGAGGACACAAUUAUUCUAGGUCUUGAUGAUGUUGUAAAUUAAAGUGAUAUUGAUAGGGUUGAUGAAGGUCAUGGACGGUUUAAAUUAAAUGAAAGUGAAUAUGGAUUGAAGGAGAGAGCAAGGGAAAUGAGAGUGAGCACAUGGACUUGGUUGAUCUGGAUAUUAUUCUAAUGAUGCCUGAUCCGAUGAUAAGCUUCUUACAAGGAAAAAAAAUGCUUGGGACCUAGAUCUUACAUAUCCUAAUUGUGUCAUUCCAAUAUGAGAGAUUCGAGAACAAUAAGCAAUUUUAAGAGGCAAUUAAGAAAUAUGCAUUUGCAAAGAAUGUGCAACUAAGGUUCAUGAAAUGAACCACAUAAAGUUAUAGGUUGCAAGAAGGGUUGUCCAUAUCAUAAGCAACAAAAAUAAAGUUGUUGUCUGUAGAAUUCAUCUUUAAACAUUACAAGGAUAAGAUAUUGUCUCAACCAAGUUUGAAGAUUAAAAUUUUAAGGAGUUAUGUAGAGAAAAGAUGAGAAUAUAUGCCACAAUGAGUAUGUGUCACAGGGCUGGAAAGAUUGUGAAUCUGAUAAGUAUACUAGGUUGUGGAGUUUUGCAAUAGAGUUGAUGCAUGGUAAUCUGGGAGCCACAGUUAAAAUUCAAGUGGAUAGAGAAUGCAAAAAGGAAGACAGUGUUCUUGUUGUUUUGUGCAUGUUUUAAAGCUUGGAAGGAAAGGUGGAUGUACGAGUCUAGGCCUCCUAUUAUAGGAGUUGAUCACACUGUUUUUUCAAAACGGUUUGCAAAAAGAGAGCUGUUGGUAGCCAUAAGGAGGGAUGGGAACAAUUAGAUGUUUCCACCUGUUGGGAUAGUAGUGGAGGAGGAAUGCAAGACUUCAUGCAAAAUGGUUCCUGGAAAUUUUGUUUUAGAAGAGGUACUACGGGGAAGAUGUUAAGGCAUAUAGAUGAUGAAGCAUUAACGACGCUCUCAGACAAUUAAAAGGUACAUAAGUUUUUAUUGCUAAUUGUCAUUAGUGAUUAUCAAAUAAUCAUUGAGAAUGACUUAAAAAAAUUGAUCGUGAAGAUUUUUAUCGAUUAGCUUAUAAAACAAAAAACCUUAUAGUCGUAAUAUUUGAUUUUUACUAUUUUUAUAUCUAUUUUUUUUAUUUGAGCUUGUUGGAAUGUUUUAAGAAUAUAUAUAAUUAUCUAUUUAAAUUAUUAAUGAAAUCAAUCUCUAUAAUAAAAAUGUUCAAAUAAUCUUCAAAAGAAAAGUGAUUGAUUGACUUGAAAGUUUGACCUCCAUUAGGCUAGAGUAUUGGUUUUGGUAUUUUGGAUGAGAAAGACCAAUGAUUUGGGCCACCGGCCAUAACCUUACUGCAAAUUAACAAUAAAGAUGUCUAAUGAGAUCAAUUACCAUUAUAAUCAAUUAUCAAAAUAUGAAUAAUUUUGACAUAAUAUUUGAAAAAAUUUUAAAUUAUUUAAAAAAAUUUAAUCAAGUUUAUAUACUUUUAUUUUGAAUUAAAUAGAUCAUUAUAAUUAAUAAUUAAUUAAUUAUUAUUAAUUAAUAUACUAUUUAUCAUUUUUUAUCCAUGUAGUAGUAACAUAGGAAAUGAAAAGUAUCAGAUAAUAAUGUUAUUAUAUUACAUCAUCAUAUAUUAUGAUGAAUAAAAAAAUUAAAAUUUUUUAAAAUAAUUUAAGAUUUUUUAAGUAUUAUGUUAAUAAUUUUUUAUUGAAUAUAUAUUUUUUCAUCAAGUAGGGAUCAUCAAUUUUUUACCAAGUAGUAGUACUUGUUUUUGGAGAAACAUAUUUUUAUUUGAAAAAAAAGAAAUGAUUAUUUAUAUUGAUGACAAGGCAAAGGUUAUGGAGCUUUAUGUCUUUUAAAUCUGCAAUUUUCUUAGAUCUUGGCUCAAACAGGGACCAGAGCAGGGAGUUGCAAAAAUGUGGACUUUGUUAAAGAGGCCGAAGCCGAAACAAAAACCCAGUUCACCAAAAGUAGUUUCCUGCUGCACCUUCAAACUGUGUAACAACAAACGCUACUCUGAGUCCGAGUACGAAGCAAAUAAAUAAAAGUAAAAUCCUCAUACUAUGUGGUCUCUCCAUAGUAGUAACAGAAGAAUCCUUGGACGGGGUUAAUUUUAAAUUUCUUUCUUCUGCAUACCAAAAUACAAUCUCCAAAGUUCAAGCGAUGAGUCAAGAACAGCAACAACCUUCUCCUGCUCCUGCUUCUCAGCCUGAUCAUCCUCCUCCUCCUCCAUUCGAUCCCAGUCGAAGUAACUCUUUUUUCUCUAUUAUUUUGCUUUGUGGGGUUUCUUUGUUUUUUCUUCUAAGGGUAUUGAUACCUCUGCUUCAUAUUUUCUGUUUUCUCUCUCUCUCUCUCUCUCUCUCUCUCUCUUUCUCUCUUAAAUUCGGGUUUCUGCUGGUUAGUCGAUUUGGAUUAAAAAGAAGGUUUUGUAAUGGGUAUUGCUUGGUUUGCGAUUUUCCCAAAAAAAAAGAAAAGAAAAAGAUAUGCUUGAAUUUUCUGCUUUUGCUUUCUGUGCUGAUAUGUUGGCAAAGUUCUUAAUUUUGGUUUCAAGACGCUGAGUAAUCAAUUGUGAUGUGUGUUUAUAGUACUUGAAAUAGCUCUGAUUAUUUGUUGAAACUAUCUGUUGGUGUAAAGGUGCUAUCUUGGUUGACUUAAGUCUAUUGCUUUAACCUAUAUAUUAAUCUGUUUGUGAUUGAAUUUUUAAGGCUAAUAAUUGAUUAAUUCUUACAGGCGGUUGCUUCAAAAAAAACUAGCCAACGUUGUUCUUUUUUUUUUUUGGUACAAAGCUAACAUUGGUAUGAACUCAUACGCAUGAAUGCAAAUUUAAGCAUUUUCAAUUACUUAAAUUUUCAGAUGGUUGGAAAUUAUAGCUAUCAUGGUGUUGAUGAGAGGAAGGGUUAUAGUUUGACGUUACAUUUAGUCAACCAGAGUGGUAGCUUUGUAAAAUUUGACUGUCUUGGAUCUGAAAAUUUUUUGUUAAUGGGUUAUUUGGCUCGGGAGGAUAUAUGAUUUUGUGAUUAUCCUGGAUGUAGGCGUUUAAUGAGUUUCUCUUAUGAAUCUCACACUCUCUGUAUCACUCUAUAUCUCAAAACUAGUUAUAUAUGUGCAGUGAUUGGUAUCAUUAAGAGGAAGGCCUUGAUAAAAGAGUUAGCUGCUGUAUAUCACGCAGAAUGCCUUGCAUACUGUCAAGAACUUCUGGAGCUUCAGAGAAAGUGGGAUGAGGUAUUUCAUCUAUGUAUCUUUUGAGUAACUUUCUUCUCAUCAAAUUUAAUAAAUAUAUAGAAAAUUUCUAAACUUUAAAAAUGGAUGAUUAUUAUUAUCAGUGACCUUACUGCAAUUAAUUAAUCUAAUUGCUCUUUGGUCUUUGGAUCUCCUAGGUGCAACUGUAGCAUAUAUUACUCUUCCUUCAGUCUAUGAUAUGAGGAAUCUGUUUGGCAAAACCUUAGUUUGUGCUUCUUUUUGUUUACCUAUGUCUAGUUUGUAGUAUACACAGAUGUUUGCUACAUAAGUAAACAUAUUUGAACCAAUCUGAAGUGCUGCUAAUCAGAGUUGGCCUUUUAGAACUUAGUGAGGAGAUUUUAUUGUAGACAUUAUUGUGUAGCAGCAAAUCCAGAAAGGAGUAGCAAAUAUCCCAUUUCCAUUUAUACGCUGUUAUCUCUAAUCUUGGGUUCAUAGAGGUCCAUAGCUAAUCUUCUCACCAGUGCUGUUAAGAUCCUAUAAAAUUAGCUUUCAAUCUAACAACUUUCAUGGCUAUGUGUUCCUGGUAAUAGUAGUAAUCGACUGUGGUACUCAUUUUCUCACUGUUUGCAGCCAUUUAUUGAUGUUAAAACACCUGAUGAUUUGAGGAAGGAGAAAACGAGGCCCCCAAAACGUCUGAAGAAGUCACGCUGAGCAUAUUGUAAGAUUUGAGCCUAAUCUUAUACACAAUGUUAUAUCUAUUUACAAUUUUUAAACUCUGCUGAAUUUAUAAAUGCAAGUUCAAGAUGCAUCAUGUUGCCUAAUUUACAGUUUGUUAAGUGGUCAGCAAUACCUGUCCCUCAUUUUUUUAAGUAGUCAGCUGAUACCAGGCAUUAGUGUUUAGCCAUUCUUGGUUGUGCCUGUUCGCAGGUGAUAAGAUGGCUCUGCUAUUUCAGCAGUUUCCUGCAUCGACAUAGGGAACGCCUCUCUAGAUACCUAAGCAAGCAAGCAGAGGCCAAAAGCAAUGGGAAUCGCUCCGGAUUUAUGAUUACCAUUGAUGUACUGUAUUCUAUGUAACAUAAGGAUUUGUUACUUCACAAACAAAUUUAUGGUGUUUACACUUUGUAUCAUAGUCAAGCUAACUAAUGUUCUUAACUAUCCACAUGUUUGAUCCAUUAUACCUUGUCAUUGAGCAUUCGAUACUACUUGGAGGCCCCAAAUAUUGAGCUACAUUUGUUUCUUCUGCAUUUGCUUGUGUUGCGAUUUAGAUUUUGGUAGCUUGCCUGGCCAGAAUUUGAUAGCAAUAUACUGUUUAGGGUCUUCACUGCUUGGGAAUACGCUAACAUGUGAGAUCCAAAUGGAAAUGGCAGAAUGGGUAGAGCAUGUUUGUCAUCAUGGUUUGUUAAUAGUCCGCAUAUGAGAAUGUCCAAUGUAAAGGUGAGGGUGUCUAAUUCCUCAAGGCUACCUUUUCACUUCCCCUUCGGGAUGUGCAAAAAGUCCAGGACAAGGAAUGCUCAAGAGCUUCUCUCAAUUGUAUUGGUUCUGUCCGAGCAGUCUAGGACUGGACUGCUACCACAGCCAAAUGGUAAUAAAGGAUUAAUUGUACAACAAAAAACAUCUUUUUUGGGCUGUAGUCAUUUAAAACAUUAAUCUAAACUCUUUAGGCACAAGCUUUCCAUUAAACGGACGGUGUAUCAGUCGAAGAGAUGUUCUUGAAUUCUUUUUCAUUUUUUAGAUACAGAUAAGCCUAUGCAUAAAAUCUUUAUCCAAGGUAAAUCAUGAUAUUCAAUUAAAAUUUCUAUAUAAAUCUAAAAAAAGAAAAGUCGGUUAAUUUGUAUUAAAACUUGGUCCAUAGCCUGUUAACAGUUUCUGGCAUCUACCUUGUGUGGGUAACAUUAGAUUGCUAAAAGCGCUGAAAUACCUUCCAUUCAAAAAUCCUGACGAGAACUAAUAUAAUCAGAAUAGACAAACUAUCAUGAGGCUGAAAAUCUGGUGCUCUCAAGAUUAUUAAUUUCUCCUUUAAUUUGUUUACAUGAGAUUUUAAAGCCUGCAACUAUGGCAAAACUGUUGAUUGUACACUUUCAAUGCUUGUAUUUCUCCAAAACCCAACUCUUAUCUUUUGGAAGUAAUGUGUAUUUCUUGUUGAAUUAUCAUCCUUUCAUCAUCUUUACCUGCAAAACAACAUAAAUGCUAUGUAGUAAGGCAAAAUCAAAAGUUAAACAGUCAUUCGCAGAUGUUACAAGCUAGGACGUCAACAAUAUCUUACCUACGUCUUAACAAUAGAUGCCCAUAUCCUGUGGACUAGACUAUUCGGGCCAGUAGGAGAAGAUAUCUUUCCUUCAAUGAGUUUUUCAGCUGCAUGUCCCAUUUCAUGGACAAAUUUUACAGACUCCGAUAGUCGAUUGAGUAAAUUCAUCAGGGCAAUCACUUCAUUCCGUUGCAACUGCAACUAGAGGUCAACAAAAUGAACUUUAAUGCAAAUGACAAGUUGUAUACCCAAGAAAAGAAACAACAAAAAUUAUCUUCAACAAAUAUACUUAAAACUAGUUGCUAAUGGAAACCUAGGAUACAUCCUGUGAAAUGAAAAUAAAAGCAAAACCCAGCUUCAUAGAGAUAAUUUCACAAACUGAUCUUUGUAGAGAUCAACACCACUUUCUGUUCAAACAAUGGCAUUCAUAGGCCAUUUCAUGGGAAAUAAUUAAAUAAAUUGUGCACAUGAUAUAAACUAUAUCAGCCACAAUGGUGAACCCAAAAUAGCAUUCAUUCCUGUGACAUAUUAAAAAGUUCCACUUUCAAUUGUUUCAAAUUGAAGUAGCCUCAGUAUAUCACAUUUGAGAAACUUGUAACUACUAUUUUUCCUGGACUAAACAUCAAGUGUAAAGCAAUGCAAAGAAUCUAGGUAGUAUUUAUAGUCCAUAGAUGAUUCUCAACUAGAGGAUUUUGCAUAUUUGCACAAUGGUAACAGCAUAUCAACUGCAACAAAUAAUGAAGUUACUUUUGAUGUCUCUAGAACUUUUCCCAAUAUAUUAUAUGUGACACCAAAUUGUAGGCCAGGAUUCCUGGAGGAAGAAAUUCAAUGGCUUCAAGAGAGCAUUUCCUAUAAGCAAAAACUCUAGCCACAUAUUGGAAAAGAAUCCAUUAGGAAGAAAUUAGAACUGGAAACUGAAAGUCAAAAAGUAGGAAAUGGUACUUACAGUCUGACCCAAGUGCUCCUCGCCAUUAACAGAGAACAGAAUCUUCAAUGCAGUUCCAAGACCAAGAACCUGAAGCUUUCCCCAAAGCCGACAUUUCUCACAUCCUACACAGUCCAUCAAUGCACUACAAAGCCAAUGACAAUUGUUAUAUCAUUGCAAUAAGCCACUUGAAUCACUGCACAGAUAUCAAAUGUCAAAAAUCAAAGAGAAAAAGGAAACAGUUCAUUAAAGUUUCUCCGCUCAUGAGGAUCACUAAGAACCUGGAGAGAAGGUAAAAAUACAAUGUCAGAUUUCAUUUCCUCUUGAGGAUGAUGAGUUUUGAAUGAAUUUAGACAGUCUUAAUGUGCUAACACAAAUACGUUUUAAGAAAAUGUAGUUUCCUAUUUUAUAAGUUUAACAUCUGUAGACAGAAGAAAUUGUAGCCUUUUACAAGCAUUGCCGAAGAGGAAUCGAGAGAAACCUGAUAUUUUUGAAUUGUGCUUGUAUUUUCUGUUUCAAUUCGGGUCCUCUUUGUCCUUUCCACAACUUAGCUUCAUCAAAUGGAAGCGGACAUGCAGCUUGCAGUUUUGGAUUAUAAACUAGCUGUCUCAUUAGGGACUGUGUUUUUAGGUCCUCAGUAGGAUUACCAGUAUCAUAUUCAGCUUGUUCCAAGUAAUCAGUUGCCUGAAACGCAUCGAGUUCUAGUAAGGUAAAUGACUCCAGAAUAAAUAUAUACUUGAAAAGUAAACAUCAAGGGAAAAGAUUUAUUAAGUAUUUUUCUCAACAUGUAUUUUUUGUUUUUGCCUACUUAUGUGCUAGGCUGCUCAAGUACACAAACAGAUUCAUUAUGUACUCAUGCUACUCACCUUUGUCACAGCUCGGAGAACAAAGAGGAAUGUGAAAUACAAGUUUUCAACACGAUAUGGAUAUCUUAAGACCCGAUCAUACAUUAAUUCGAGAUUAUGGCCCCACUGAAAUCAGUAAAAGGAAAACAAAGAAACAAUGUCAGAUCUUUUUAAAAUUCCCGUGUGCCUAAAGUUUACAAAUGAGCGAAAAAGACAAGCAUUGAAUGACAAGAAAUUGAGAAUUUAUACCAAGUUUGUGGCUUCAUCAAGUAGAUAAUCAGAAGCUAUAUGGAUCGAAAUAGAUGAGUGAAGACCAGAAAUCAAUUUGUACAGUAUUUUUUCUUCUUGGCAUGACUCUUCAGAUGGAUCUGCAUAUCAGAGUAAAAAUGAAUAAAGGAUUUUAGUGAAAAAGGGCUUAGGCAUCCUUCAUUCACACACACAACCACUUAAAAGAAGAAUAGAACUCACAUUUGGGACAGUUCUCUGAGUAGACAGCAUCCCAUAUCCUUCUAGCCGAUGGGCCAGUGUAGCCAGUAUAGCGUUCUGGGUUCAGUUGAAGAUUCACAUACGUCAUCUCAGCUGCAAAUCAAAUUAGACAAUCACUUAAGAGGAUCACUUUUUUGGACUAUUAAUGUUUCAAACACCAUCAUUCUCACUGUCACUCUUAUCAUAUCUGCCAUUGCCAAUAGAGCAACAAUAAUCUUCACUGAUUUGCAUAAGCAUCAAUUAAAUUUAUCAUUCUCAGGCGCACAAAAGCAAGAUUAAGAGCAUCCAACAAUAAGAUAAGCACAAUGAUAAAACUGAAAUAUGUCAGAACUGUCAAGAACAAUUUUGGACGCACAAUUAUCUGUCUCGUCAUCAUGAGUCCAGGGGUUAUCUGUUUCUGUCCACCCCCUAAAAGCUUUACUGUCUAGAGUGCGGUCAACAGCAGCCUGUGGCUUUCCUUCUUGGCACAUAAGGUCAUCUGAUGAAAGGCCUCGAUGGUUGGGCUUCUUAAAUAAUUCAGGGAAUUCACUUUCGGGACAUUCACAAACACUACAGUCCCGCAAACGGCACAUACCAUCAUCAGGCCAAAAUGGACAGUCACACCACAACUUAACCUGCCCAGGGCAAUAGAAAAUAUUAGGCUUCAGAGAAAAUCAGGUGAGAAAACAUAGAGCAUGAAUUUCAAAUGCAGCAUAUAAACUAACCCUGUCAUGCUAAGAGGCAGAUAAACUAAAAGGUUUCGAAUGAGAACAGUCUAUUCUUAUGCCCUAAGUUUGUCCGACUUAAGCUUCAUAAUAGUAGGAUUUCUCAACAACAUAAACUAGUGAGACACUUUUCAUUCUAACCACAUGCUUCGACUUCAAAACUUGCAUAAAUCUUAGAAUCACUUCCUUUUCACUCUACAGUUAAUGCAAGUAUGAAAAAAAAUAACCAGAUAAGAGGAAAUACAAGCUCUAACUGCUUAGACAGACUGCUAAACUGGCUAUUUGCCAUCCACUAAUCUGGUAGUUUCCUAUAAUUAUCUGUAAUCAAUACAUAACCAUUUAUAUUGGAAAGCUUUGUAGUUUCCCACAUCAACCAUUGUGAAAAUUAUCUCCACAAUAAUACAACAAGACAUUUACAUAAUAUUUCCAUCACACAACGGGCAUUGGACAAUAAGAUAACCUUGAAGUAUCGAAAAAAUGGUGUUUUAACAAGUUCCUGGAGCAAUGGAUGUAACACUUCCUCAUUAAGAUGGUCUACAGUCUCAUAAUCACAACAACAGUCCUGUACAAUACCGCUAUACUUGUGUUUGUCCUGCACAAAUUGAAGAAAACAGUCAUUGUCAUACAAACAAAAUGCCAACCAUUUCAUCAUUCAACCUAAAAAAAAGGAGGGAACAAAAGGACAAAUGGCAACACGUUUCAAUGAAUUCAUAAAAAGGCUGCUAAGAAAUUCAGAAAUCAAAAGGGGGGAUCACAAAAAUAAAUAAAUGCGAAACUGGGUACUUAAAUUUGGACCAAUUGGACUCAAAGGAAAGUAAGGAAAAAAAUAAAACCUUUCUCCUCAUUUCAAUCUAAGUCUCCACCAUUUUCUGAGUACCCAAAUAAAACUAGGCAAACGGCAUCACUUUUCAAUGAUUCAUUUACACAUUGCUAACAAUUUAUAAGCCAAAGGAUAAAUUCACAAGAAAUCAGAAAUGGGCAGUUGAAAUUGGCGCCAACUGAACAAAAUCAAAGUAGAAAAAGAAGAAGUAAACUUCAUUUUUCAUUUCGUUCCAAAGAUUACUUCCAUUUCCUAAGUAACCAAACUAAAGGGAAUGGGUAAAAAGAGAUAGAAAGCGAAACCUGAGAACAAAGACAAGACUUGUUAGUGUGUCCAAACAGAGAGAUCUUUAGUGUACUUUUAGACGCCAAAGCUAUUGCAACAACAAUUGUAAUGAAAGCUCCAAUCACCCAUCUCCGCCUCAUUUUCUCACUCUUCUUCCCCUUCUUAACCUCUGAUUCCACCAUCUGCCACCUUUUCAACAAAGCAGAAAAAGACCCAGAUUGCUAAAACACUGAAAAAACUUGUUGGGUUUUCUACAAUGAAAAGAAAACAAGAGAAAUUCGGGACUAUUUUUCAAGAAUAGAAUCGUCAAGGGUAAUAGAUUACUGGGUUUUACGGUUGGGUUAUUUAAAGGGAGAUUUUGGGGUUAAGAAAGGUAAAAAAAUUAUGAUUAAAAGGGGAUCAAGGUGGACAGAAAGAAUGAUGUUGUGAGAAAUUGUGCGCGUUUUUUCUCUUCUUUGAUGGUUUUUGUUUCUCUGCCUCUUCUCUACAGUUUCAAACCAUGGGCACGCACUGAAAAAAUCGAAGGGGUAGGAUUUGGUCAUUGAAGGUGCCCCCAAACUAAGUACCAUAUUAAUUACGUCACCAAGAAAAGGAGGUGGACAGGAACAGGAACCUUCUUCUGGAAGGGUUUAGUUUCAACACAUUUGUGUUGACUUUCUUUGUUACCAAAGUGAGUGACUCCGCGUUGACCUUUUUCAAAAUAAAAAAAUAAAAAAUUGUACUACUGAGUUCGAAAAUAAAAAAUUAAACACGCACUAAUCAAUAAUAGAUAAAUAAAAGUAUAAAAUUCAAAUUUAUCAAUUUAUUUAUGUCAAAGUAUAUCUCUUACAAAUUGUGUCACAGUUAUCAAUAUAUUAUGAAAAAACUCAUACUUAUAAGUGAUGGAUCUUGGUGUAAUUUUUUUUUGUCAUUAGAUAAUUGUAAGAUUAUAAUAAAAAGAAUUGCAAGUGAAAUUCUUUAAUUUAAUUUAAUAAAUUAAAUUUAUCACAUAUUUUUAAACGAGUGUAAUUUUUUAUAUUAUAUUUUUUAAUUUGACUCAAAAAUGACUUAAAGAUAAACUAAUUUUUUAACAUUAACUUUUGAUUAAUUUAAAAUGAAACAAUAGUGAAAUUAUAUUUUUCAAAUAUAAGUGAUAAAUUCAAUUUAUCACACUAAGCAUAAGAUCUGAAUUAAAGCGAUAAAUGGUGACUUUAUUUCAUGCAUAAACAAACAUACAAAUUUGUUACAAAUGGAGAACUGGGGUUCAGCCUUUGGGCUGGGCUCAAAUUUGAUGUUGGGUUAAGAUUUUGACCCAAUCAUGUUUGGGCUAAGAUCCGACUCGGCUCCAUAAAGCUACAACUAACUAUUAGUAGUAUUGUUACUAAUACCAAAAGAAACUACUAACAGUAUAUUAUAUUAUUAAGAAAGUUAAUUUUUAAAAAUUGGUUUUUUCGUAUUUUUAAUUAUCAAGAUAAUAAAAACAAUAAGUAAUGAGAAGUAAAUUAUUUUAAGUUAUUUUUUGUCUAAUUGGCAAUGUGGUUAGUUGGGAUGAGCUUUAACUUUGUAUUUAGAUUUGAACCAUCAACACCCUUAAAUGUAUAAAGGUAAAAUUUUCGGACAGCAAUCGGGAGCAUUAAGCCCAGUAAAUUGAAAAUCUGUGUUAAAAGCAUAAUAAAUAAGCCUCAACCGCCCUGUUAACAAUACAGUCUCAAUUCAUAAGAUAAUGAGAUAAAGAGAGCAGAAAAUUAAUUCUUGGGGUUUUAGGAUCCGUGAAAUACGAUUCCUGUUUACUACUUUUUCUCGUCCUUGGUUCCACAUGAAAUCACUUAAAAAGGAUCCAUGGCCGUUGGACAUAGCAGUCAAAGUGUCAGACAAGUUUGACAAAGAGUCAAUGAAGAGAUAGUGGCUAAGGGGUUCAUGAUUCUGUUGAUGCUAUUCUGCUUCAGGAAACAAGAAAAUCAUGGUCAAGUUUUACAUCGCUCGACAAUCACAUCUUUCUUACCGAUGAUUUCACAUAGGGAUUUUUUUUCAUAAACCCCGGAAAGCCACAUGGAAAAUGAUUGCUUUCACCAUGUAAUCAUUUUUCCUGAUACCUUUUGUCUGCUGCUUCCAUCUGCUUCUCCACCUAACGAUACGCAAUUACCCAAUGCCUUCCUCUUCCCUCUCUCUCGCUCUCUCUCACAGGAUAAUUAAUAAAACAUGUUAAGUUUCCAGAAUCUCAGCUCUUAUUUAUUGUAACAUAACUCAUCUCAUCAGGGCAGGACAACGUACAGUACUGAAAAACCCUUUCACUUCAUUAAUUCAAGUUGUGGUGAUUUUAUGUCUUUAAAAUUAGACCUAAUACUGAUGAAACUAAUGAUGAAGAACUUAAACGAAAUGACCUAUAAGAAACUAGAUUAUGACACCCAUCAUAUGUUGUUAAGGAAACAUUUACAGAUAACUCCAUCUUCACUCGGGUGAAGGGUAGGAGCCUAAUUGUUCAUUUUUUUUUUUUUUUGAGGAAAGGGAGCGUACUUGAUCAUGUUAAUGGAGAAACAAAUGAACUGAGAAUAGAGCAUUGUCAUCUUCCACAAUCAUAUUUCAUCCCCCAAUUCAAUGAGCCCUGCCCCUGCCUCACAGACAACAUCACCACGUUCUUUUGUUCUGGAAAUCGAAUCUCAAACGGAUAAAAGUUAACUUCCCAAAAUAAAUAUAGCAUGGGAAAAUAUAUGGUCCAGAAUCAAUUCAUCACUAGAAUCAUCUGGACAUUGCCAAAGACUCCACUCUGUCUAUACUUCAACCAGAGACAUCAACUAUCAAUUUGUGUCUGCUUAAUCAAAUUAAUUAUCCAAACACGUGUACUAAUCAAACAUAUUUUUCAGAUUAAAUUGCUUUAAAUGGAGGGAACUCAUCAGUCAGGAGAAUGCAAAAGGCCAAAAAAAUAAGUUCAUUUUUUUCAAGCCCAUUUGAUAGCACUGACAACCUAGAUAAGAGAGAGGGGGGGGUUGUUUAUUCAAUUAAUUAAUCUUGGUUAACCCUGGGCAUCCUUUCCUGGGAAAAUACCGUUAGUCAACCGAGUGACUUCGCAUGGCAUGCAAGCCAUCGGCAUUUAGUGUAAGGAAUAUGAUCUGUCACCAUUUCGUUGCCCCACGGAGAUGGAUCUUUGUACUGUUUUUUUCCCUCUUCCUUUAUUCCAUCGCCGGCGAUCACUCUAUCAUAUGUUCCGGCAGCUCUAUGCAUGAUGUUAAUUUGCAAUGUGGAAAGAAUUGAAGAUUAUGUAUUGAAAAAUCGAUUCAGAAGACAGAAAAUUAAAGAAGCAUAAAAACAUAUCGUUGAGUCAUGGAAUUCUCUAAGUAGUGGUUAGUAAUAAGUUUAAGCUCUAUAAGAUGAGAAACUCUCUACUUUAAUGCUCAGGACAAAGAAGCUGACAAGCCAAGAAGCAAGGUCCGCUCACAUUGGCGUCACCCCGUACUCUGUACAGCAGCCCUAGCUAGCUAACUAGUUAGAAUUGAAACAGAAAGCCUACACACAAAUUGAAAACCCCUCCAUUUUAAUUAAAAAAAAUGCAACGAAAAGGAGAUAAGAUCAAAGAGCAAAUCAUAAUUCAUAUAUUUAAUAUAAAUAUAAAAGUUGACAAUAAAUAAGAGUUAGGCCUAGCCAGCCCAGAAUAUUCCGGUUCCUAGAGUGUUAAACGAGAAAAUCAGAGCCAAAGUGCACCAGCUUCUUUGAGGAGAGGGACCAAUGUGCCAUUGAUGUGGCAAGCCAUGAGUGUUUCAAUGCCACCAAGGAACUUGCCACCAACAAACACUGCAGGAACGGGCUGUCGACCAUCGGCGGCGAGCUGAAAGAGGACAGCUUGGAUGUCAGGGCCGGAGACGUGGUGGUCGAGCUCGAUGAUGGUAGGGCCGACUCCGAGCCCGAAGAGGAGGCGUUUAGCCACGGUGCACAUGCAACAGCCACUCAUGCUGAACAGAACUACUGCGUUGGUGGAAGCCAGCUGCCUCACUAUCUCGUAUGGAUUGUCAAGCUUCAUUGUUGCUGACGCCUCGCUGUCUAUUGCUAUGUUGCUCGCCAUUGGAAUCCCAGUUUUUUUUGCCACCUGCAUCUUUGGGUUUGAUCACAACAACAAAAGAUAAUAGAACAAGAAAAAGAAGGAGAAAAUGUGAUGAAACCUAAAAGGUAGAUGAAGCUAAAGGAAGGUGACAAGGUUUUUUUAAGGUUGAAGAGAGGAGGGGGAUGGUCAAACCUAAUAAAUUGAAGCAGAGGUGAAAAAGAGUGGGAAAUGAAAAGGGAGUUUGUAGGUAUUCUGAAACAGAGUAGAAACGUUAAACGAAACUGACACAGUGAGUAAUAUAGACUAGAAUUGACUCUAGCACUUUUAUAUUGUAUACUGAUAUAAAGUAGUAGUACUAUAUAUAUAUAAAAUAAAAAUGAAACAUUCUACGUUGCUACUAUUGCAAAAACUUUGCUGGUUUUUUUAUAGAACCAAGAAAGUAUAAAAGGAAAGAAACACCUAGAGAGAUUAUCAAAAGAUGAAAAGGAAUAUCAAUCCUGAGAAAGAGAGGAGAGGUACCUGAAGCUAAGUACCCGGCAAAACCUGACGGGGCUGGAGCUCUGCCAAUCUCUUCCAAGUGUACGGACGGCAGUCAGUAUUACCCCCCUCUAAUCAUCCACCUUUAGAGGCAGGCAUGCCUUCUUUGACGUUGCAGAGAAAAAAUAUAUAUACACCGCUCACUCGCUAUAUAUAUCUAUAUAAUAUAUAUAUAUAAAGAUAAAUUUGAGUUUUUAUUUCUUCUUUUAUAUAUAUAUAUAUAUAACAAACAAAACCCUUUAGUUUUUCAAACACGUUGCCUGCAGUCAAAGAAUCAAGAAGAUCAAUGUUGAGAUAUAUAUAUAUAUAUAUACUUACACAAAAAAGAAGCAAACAAAAAAAAAGAAUGAACAAAACUUUCAUGCAGGUUCCAGAGAUUAGUGUGUGAAGGAUGGGGUGGGACCCUUUAUAAGAAACAGUACCAAAAUAUCCCAACAGAAAAGGAUUCUUGUAAGCUAGUCGCUCACGCCAAUAUCAGAACUCCUCAGAAAGGAACAACCCUAGCAACAACAAAUAAUAUCCUCGUAGACUGAUGUUUUUAUUUUUUUUUUAUUUUUUUCUCUCUUUAAACGCGUGAGCCUUGUAGUACGGCCACUUGUUUCCGUUUCAGCAGGUAAAGGGAAAAGAAAACUGCUGAAUUUUUUUUAUUGUUUUUUAUGCUUUUGAAGUGAAACUGAAAAAAGAAUUACAUCCUAAAUAAAGAGUAGUAAUAAAUAAGGGUUUUUCUUUUAUGGGUUUGUGUGGAGAGGGAGCGGGGAUGGGUAUAGUGGUAAUAAGAGGGGAUUACAUGGAAAAGGAAACCGACAAGCCGACAAAGAGCGACUGAAACGCCGUCGUUGGAAGGGUCAGUAAGUCGCUUUCUUUCUCUCCUCAGAGUGGCAGCAGGGUGUUUGUCCUUUGCUUACGGCGACGCAGUCAGGUUAUGCUCUUAUUUAACCUCAUCCCCAUCCCUAGCCUUAGGAUCCCAUAUUUCUUAACUUAUAGUUUUCUUUUCCAGAUUUUAAUUAUAAUAUUUACACGUGAAAUAGUUUAUUUUAUUUAGAGAAGAUAAUUAUAUCGAGCACUAAAUCAAAUAUCCGAUGUAAGUAUAAAAUAAAUUUUUUAUUUUAAUUUUCUAGAAAGAAUAGUACCAAGAUGUUCUCCACCCCAUUUAUACUUUCUUUUUAAUUAAGUAACCCAAUUAUAUAUUUCAUUAUAACAUGCAUUUGUAAAACCAAAAAAGGGCUUUUGAGUGAAAUCUCCAAUUUGAACAGUUAAUAGGUGGGUGUAGUAAUAUUGCCAUAAUGAGUUCACCUUUUCUUUUAUGAGUUUUAUCAAAGGAUGUUCAGAUCAGAUAAUAGGAGUGAUCAUUAUAUAUUGUAAAUUACACUGCAAAAUGUUUGACCUUUUAUGGUAAAAAAUGCAAGUAAAACCGACCGGGUUAAUUCUAGUAUACUGGUUUUUAUUUUUUUAACCUUGCAAUGUACCUUUCCAUUAAAAUCAUUAAAUACUGGUUUUUAUAUAGGAAAGUACCAUCCUUUGUAAAUCAAUAUAUCUUUAAAUAUGAUAUAAAUUUAGGCACACAGUCACUUUAUUAUUAUUGUUUGUUUUCUUUACAAACAUGCAAGUAAUCAAUUUUAAAUUGUAAAUCAAUCAAAUUGAAACAUUCAAAAUAAAAAAAAAAAUUGAGAAAAAAAAGGACCAAUUUUAUCCAUGAAUCACUACUUUUAACAGGGAUAACAUUGAGAGAAGUACAUGUAUACAAAUGGAUUUGAAUCCAUCAUCAUUUGCUAAGCUAGUUCAAAGGGUGAAGAGGAACGAAAUGAACCAAAAAAAGGAACUAAUUUAAUUAGUAGUAAAUCAUGCCUCAACGGGUCAUCUCUCAUUCAAUAGAGUUUCUUGAUAUCCGAAUAUCCUACCCCAAGCACCCCCUAGAGUGCAAGCAAGAAACUGAUAUAUAGCCCCGAAACAGGCUUCAAAAGGGUCCCUAAAGUAAACAUUCCAACAUGAAAAAGACGACGCUACGUUGUUCUUUAGCUUUCCCCACAAAUUCAAAAGGCAAUUCUCGUUUCUGUUAGCAAGAAUUGCCGCCGACUGAAGAUAAGCAGAGGCUGCAGACUUGACCAGUCGGUUCCGAAUGAUGAUUUUGGAAUAAUCGAACUCAUUUCCUUCUUGAUUUAUCGAGCGGCAGGGUGGUGGUGAUGAACUCAAAAUAACGUCCUUCAAGCUUGUGUAGCGGGGUUCAUCUUCGAUUUCAGGGUCCGGGGAAAUCGAAGAAUUCCUAGUGAAUUUCAAUAAAGGAAAAUUUUGUAGCUUUUCCAAAUCUGUGUCCAUGAUUAGCCAUGAGAGGUUGAUGUGGUCGACAAUGUGGGCACUUUAGAAGCAGGAAAAACAAAAGAAAAUUGUUGUAUAAGUUCAAAGGUGAUCAAAUAUUUUCCCUAGGUUUCUGUUGAUCAGCAUGAACCUGGAAACCGAAAGAGGAAAAGGCUCCAGGUGGAAAACAAUUGCAGCUUCAGAUUGUUGCGUUAACUUGUUUAACGAUUUUUGCUAUAGAGAGAAAAAAAAUUUAUGUAAAAUUAGGUUUCUGUUUUUCUGCUGGCAACGACAUUUCUAUGGGCAAUCCUUUUUUGUAGCCAACUGACACGGACAACUUGAAAAGACUGGUUUCUUUUCGAGCUUGCAUUUGUUCUCAACAUAAACUCGUAAAAUUUACAUAACGCUCCAAUAAUCUUUGGAUUAAUAUUCGAUACAGUGUCAAGCUAUCAAAUUCUAAUACUUCAUUAAUAAGGUAAAAAGAAUAAAAUUUACCUUUUAUUUCUUUCAAAAAAAUAAAAACUUAAAAUAAUAUUAAUUUUUUAUUUUCUUCAAAAUAUUACCUCAUUAAUAAAAUGUCAAGAUUAGAUAACCUGAUAGUAUAUAGAAAUUAAUGCAUCAAACAUUUUCUCAUAAUCUUUAAAUAAAGUGUCAAUGCCUUUUGUUUAAUUAUCUCUAAAUACUGAGAUAUAAGAGGAAAGGGAUUUAGGAUUCAAUUUGUCUGUUAUUAGUAAGUAUAUAUCUUAUAGGAAAUGCUUAAUUUUGCAUGGUAGCAUCUGAAUUAUAUGGAGAUGUUAAUUAGUAAUCGUCAAAAAUCUAUGACCAAGUGUAAGCAUAUAUUUUGUUAGCAUGCUAUUGAGCAUGCAAUGUGUAGGGUGUAACAUGAUUUUAGCGUUGCAGAGUUAGACUGAAUGAUAAAUGCAUACGAGGUGUGAAACGAUUUUGGGUUAAGUGGACUUGAAACUAAAAUUAUUGCAUCAAGAUGUAUUUUGAGAAUUUUUUUCCUUUUCAUAAUAAAUUAUUAUGAUUUUGAGGGAAAUUAUUUUUUUAUUUUAUAUAAAGUAACAAGGUAUGAAGUUUAAAAAAGCUAAAAACUUUUUAACAAUAUUCAAAUAAGUCUUUUUUUAUUAUAUUCAAUUAAACUCUUGUACUUUUAUUUUAAGUCAAAUAAGUCCUUAUGAUUAAUGAUUGACUAAUUAUCAUUAGUCAAAAUACACCUUGUUAUUUUAUAUCCAUAUGAUAUUGAUAUAGCAGUGAUGUGAAAGAUGAGAAAUGCCACAUGAUCAUAUUUAGUGGUAGAGUCAGAAUUUCAAAUUUGAGGGGACAAAAAAAAAUUCAAUAUUUGAAGGGGAGAAACUAUAAAAUUUUUAAAAAAUCAAGGAUAAAAUUAUAAAUGUUUAAAACAAAACAAAGAAAAAAUUAUAAACUUUCGAAAUUUGGGGGAAUGGGGGCCCUAGCUAGCCCCCUUCAUUCGCCUUUAAUCAUAUUGUCAUGUUAAAUUAGUAUGUCACGUUAUCAUCAAUUAUACUAUAUCAACAUGCAAUAUCAUAAUCAAUUAUAAUAUAUUAAGAUACCACAUUGGUACUAUACGACAUAAAAUAACAAAAAGCAUUUUGACUAAAUUAUUCAUUAAUCAUAAAAGCUUAUUUGACUUAAAAUAAAAAUAUAAAGAUUUAUUUAACUUAAAAUAAAAUACAAAAACUUAAUAAAAAUAUAAAGACUUAUUUAAUUUUUUUUAAAAUAUUAUGUCAAGUAACAACAACAACAACAACAACAAAUAUUAAAUUGGCUGUCUAAGCAUCGUUGGGGAGUAGAAUUCUAACUUGAUUUUUUGCUUAUGAAAUGGUUUUCUCAGAAAAUCGUAGGUAGCAGUAAAUAUUGGUUUUGGUUUACAAGCCAUAACAGGAAAAAUCUAAAGAAUUUAAAAGCCUAUUAACAAAAGCAAUAGCAAUUUACCAUCAAAAGAAGUAAAACGAAACAAGAAAAACCCCAAAAAGGUAAAUGAAAGUUCUCAGAAAUUAACAACUAGUUUUAUAUCGAAAUGUGAUUCAAGAUCAAAGUCCUAAUCUAUUGAAACAAAUUGGAAAAGCCACAUUCCUAAGGCAAUACAAAAAUCUGGUGCAAAUCAAGAAUGACAUAUAAAGAAUAAAUGGCAGCUAGCGCCUUCAACUCAUGAUGAAAACGGGGAAACAAAGAAAAAAGAACAACAAAGAUGGGUCAAGGGAGAUACGAGGGCGAUUUUGAUCAUCAAAAUGUCCACUUGCAUAAUAGUUUAGCUGACAUGCUAAGUGGCAAAAAUGAGACCUCCAACGAGCCUUACGGGUUGCCCAACAAUGUUUAUCGCCAGGGUAUUCUGAAACUAAAUGGGGUUUGUCUCCUACUGCCUUCUAGGAUAUGAAGACGGGGUCUUUGAAAUUUACCCUAAAAAGCAUCCGGAGUGAUGACAUUCUCAGUUUUUUUUUUCUAGUAUUUGAAAAUGAUUAACUGAGGAACUUGGACAAUUUGUCUUGUACAUGCAGCCUGAUGCAAAUACAAGUUGUGUUUUAGUUAGCUAGACCUUGUGUUUGUUCUGGGUCAUGGACCCAGGGCUUAGGUUCACCUCUCACUGGAUUACAUCAGAUCUCUAUAAAAAUGGGUCUGAGACCAGCUGGGCUUAGUUUUCUACUUGAUCAUAUCAAUCUUGAUAUAAUUCCUUGUUUGCAAUUUAAUGUUCAAAUGCACCUUGCAAGUCGAUUCACAAAUUCACGUGGUCUACAACUUUUGUGAGAGCAGAACAGGUGUGAAACCUGGGAUCCAUGUCGGCCGUGAGUGGAAAUAUGCUUACUCUCCUUUCAAUUGUAGGAGCCACAACAAGCGCUUUUUUUUACACAAAAACAAUGAUUUAGCUGUGUAUAGGUUAAUUGCUUAUCAAUCUCAAAAUAUGCAUUUGCUGAUCAAGUAGUUUAGAAGAUAAUUUGGUGAAAAAUCUAUUUUAAAGUGUGGUUGUUGAAAGCUUGCUUGUCCAAAAGGGAUCUUCUUUAUCAAAAUCUUAAAGCUUUGGGCACAAAGAGAAGAGGAAAACUACUUAAAGAGAAGUAAAGAAAGCUCCUUGACAUUGACAGUUCAAUGCUAGGAAUUAUCCAGAAUCUGAUCAUAAAUCUAUGGAAAAUGGUUCUAACAUAGUAGUGGGUAGGUGGGGAAAGUAGAAAAAGAAAGAAAGGGAAAAAAAAAAAGAAUCAACUUUGAGCAUGUGUUAGACAUGGACAUUACAUGUUAGACUAGAGAUUGCAACCAUUAUCAUUGUUAUUAUCUAUAUGUAUAAUAUUGAACACCACAAACAUAUGACAUAAAUAUAUACUGCUCUUAGUUAUCUCAUGAAAUCAGUCAAGCUGCUAAAAACACAAAGGGCCUCUAUCAAAGUGCAUGAUUGAAUAUUGGAAUCCAUAAAACAAAAUUUUAAUUAUAUAGUAAAAAAUUGGUAUAUUAUCUGAAUUCUUAGAGUCAAAUUUUUCUUCUAAAGGGUUAAGAAUCAAUUAUUGCUAAUUGUAGGAGAGAAUAUGGGACCAAGAGCAAAAAGGGUGCCCAUUAAUAAAUGCUGUGGGGGUUAACUAAAAGAGAAAAGGAUGAAUGUAGAAUAUGGAUGUAAGGUUGUAAGGGUUGCCAUUUGCCGUAAGCCUAUAAGAAGACAGAGAAGGUGUGGUCCUCAAUCAUCUCCAUACAUCAGUGUCAAAGCCCAUGUAAAGAAAGCUUGUUUGCUUCCAUUCCUCUUUCAGUCAACAGCAUGUGCUUAAGGGAGUUUAACGAGAAAGACCCUGACCAUACUUGUGAUGUAGAAUCUCUUUGAGAGAGACCUAAAUCAUUAAAACUUUACCCAUUAUAUUAUAUUUGAAGUCUAAAUGAACUGUAUAUAUAACCUUUGGAAAUGAAAAGAAGUAUUCCUGUUAAGAAAUUAUUUUGGUUAAUUUGUUUUUUACUUUUUAUUUUUUAUAAUUUUAAACUGUAUAACCCCAGCUUUGCCUUCACUGAUACAAACCAAAAUGUUAACAAAUACUUAUUUGACUCUGGGUUUUUUUUUUUUUUCAAAUAAAAGAUCAAUUGACCCCACUUUUGUUUUUUUGGCAGUGCUUAGCAACUCUGACCUGGCUCUAUAAUUUCAGGGAACAACAAUUUUAGACAGUAGGAAGGGGCCCAAUAGAAGGCAAAAGUUUCCUUAAUGCCCAUUUCUCCACCCUUUUCUCAGUGUAGAAGACAAAAGAAGAAGAAGAUCAUUUAUGUAAUUUUCACAAUCAUGUGUUGUCGAAUGCUGAAAGGUCUUUGAACCUUACAUCGUCCAAGCCAGGUAGGGCAAAUGAAAGAGACAUGGUUUCUUUUAGGAAAAGGUUUUUGGAUUGAAAUUGAACUUCAAUCCAGACUUUAAAGGUCAAUACCAGUUGCGAAUAAAGAGUGAUGACUGAUGAGAGGGUAUGGAAUCUGGGGGGUCUGCUAUAUCUUCCAUUAGCUAAAGUUAAGAACUGCAAAAUCCAACUUGUCAAUUGCCAUUGUUAGGUCAUUGUGAACAUUUAAAAGUACGAUCAAGACCCAUCACUUGAUUAUUACGAAUAACUUUGGCAAAUCAUCAUUGCAGAACAACCAUUUUAACAGCAAUUAAGUUGUCCAAAUUUGAGGAAUUUUCUUCUGUGCACGAUAUAAUUAAUACCUUUAACCCGUUUAUCUCUUCCCUACACUUUCUGUCUCCAAGUUUAUAUAACUAUUUUCGUUCAUAAAAGAUUUGAGUAACCAGAAAAUCAAAGCUUAAACCAAGAAAUUUUUUAUAGAAUUAUUCUAUUUGAUUGGAGCUCAGGGGAGCUUAUUGUAGGUUUGCACCCUCCAAUUGAUUUGAUUUUUAGUCCAACUCUUAAAGGCCAUUUUGUUCCGAUGAGUAUAUUAACAUGGUUCAUGGGGCAUGGUCCACCACUUCCACCUUAAAAAGAAUCCCAAAUGGUGGGACAAAGACAAAACUGCAACUGGGAUACGUUCUUGAGAUCAGAUAAUAACUGCCAAAUCUGCAUUCGUUUGCAAAAUCUAUCAAAACUUUCACCAAGUGAAAGCCUACCAAUUAAAACAGGGGAGAGCAUGUUCAUUUGCCUGUCCGAAAAGUAAGAGUACAGAGAUCGUUGCUGUUAGUCCAAAAUCUGGGUGGAGUUCCUGAUGUCAAGAUUUGAUUGGGAGAAUGUUCAGUACAAUCAUUGCGGAAUCCCCAAUUUCUUGUGAACUGAUUAUUGCAGACAUUGCAAAUCCUCUUCUUCUCUCUCUCCCUCUUUCUUUAUAUCAAAUAAUUCACUGAAUUAUUAGGUGACAUUAUUUCUUCGUGUAUGUUUAUGCAUAUUAUAUACUUUCUUAUGAAAAAAAAAACUAAGGUCAAAGUUUCUUGUUUAUACAGAUUCAAAAGUAAUUAAUCCUUCUCAGAUUGCUCUGGCAUGAUGUAGUUUAAUUAGUCUGUCUUCAAGCCCUCUCGCACACAAGCCUUAUUAAAUUAGGCAAACUUUGACUAGCUCUUCUGCAAGCCUACCCAAGCUUUUUCUAUAUCCAUAUCUUCUCAUUUAUAAUCGGAUAUAUUUUUGGGUCGAAUUUGAUGAUCCUCAGUAAUUAGUAUGCUUCUAAUCUGAUCUUUUUGAUUAGUUUAUAAUCAUUAAUUUUGAAAAGAGUGAUGUAUCAGUAUGCAAAUUAGUCUUCCCAUGAUCUCAACUUUAUCAAGAAAAAAGUAAUAAUGAUUUUCAAACUUUGAAUAAGAGCCAGAUUCCUCACUUUAUAAGUGCAUAUCAAGGACCUUUAAACACUGGAAGUUGACUGAUAUCUACUAAUUAAUUACUAUUAAAUUAUUCACAAUGAAAUAUUUAAUUUCUUGAUUCUCCAGAUUCUUCUGCUCUGCUCUUCCAUUUUUUAAUGUUUGCUGGAGUUUUUUCUUUCAUUUUCAUCGGACCCAUAUGAUUAAAAUAAGUAUAUACGUCCAUUGGCAGCAGUACCCAAACACAAGCAUUUUCCUUCACUUGUUCAUAGCAAUUGUGAAGUAUAUAUAUUUGCCACUAAAGAACAAAUAAUCUCUUUUGGUAAGUAUUAAAGAGAUUACCUUAGUCUGGAUCAGUGAUCAGUACAGUAACAAACACAUCAACUAUGUCCGUUCUUAUUUCAAACAAAAAAUUAAUCGAUAAAACGGAUUAAAUAGUAUCAGAGUAUAUCUUUACAUUAUAAGAUAAUAUUUUUAAUAUAAAAUUCAAAUCAGAUAUAGCCAAAUUUAUUAAAUUUUUUUUUAGAGACAAUUAUGUAUACCUUUUAAUAAUAGUUAUUUUGAGCUCGAAAUUGCAAAUAGUAUAAGAAUUUCUUAGUGGUAGUUCUUUUGCUAUGCACCAAAUUAGACAAGUACUAAAAGAAUAAGGAAAGUUCCAGUUCCUCUUUCCUUGCACAUUUUUAACCUUAUUAUCAACCAAAGUAAAAGCCAGAGGAAAGUAUAAAACAGUCAAAAUGAUUUGAUUUUUGAGAGCCUUUGCAAAUUGCACGUUUUAAAGGGUUUGGCAAAGACUUUUCAGCUUUUGGAGAGUCUGGAUUUGGAUAAUCUUGAUUUCUCAACUUGAAUUUUGUUGAAAUUUUUUUUUUAAGUUGGGAGAAGAGGAUUUGAAUUUUACUUUUUAUACAAAAAGAUCAUAUAUUAAUAAAUGAGUCAAGUGCUCGGAUGCUCUAUUCCUAACUAAGUUACUUAAACAAAUGUUAAACAAUAGCCCUUUCAAAUGUCACAUGCUUCGUUGCUUAAUUUUUCUUUUAAUGGGUGAUUACUUCUUUUUCUCUAAAUGACAAAUUUAUUAUCAAAGAUUUUUGUUGCUGUGAAAGUUUUAAUACAACUGAAUAUUUAAUUUAAUAAUCGGUGCAUGUAUCUUUAUACAAUAAAUUGUAUUAAAACAUAUUGUAAAUGUAUUUAUGUUCCAAUGAUGGGAAAUGUCAUAUACUGUAUUACAUCAAAUUAAUAUCUUUGGACCUAACUCUCUUACUGUCGCAUUUCUAGGCAGUACUCUACUCAACGCUGAUAUUAAAAUGUUGCAAAAUUUCAGCGGAGCUAGUUGGUCCAGCCUUCCUUUACACAAAGUCAGGAUUAUUAUUAAUUAAACUUCGGAUUAGAUAAAGAGUGCAUUGCAGUUCAAAAUUGAGAUGCUGUGUCUAGGAUCACUCCAUUUUUGUAUUGGUUGUCUCCAUAAAAUAUUGUCCACAUGUGGAUUAAGAGAUCAGGACGACAAUAUUGACCAAUUAAAACAUGGGUCAAUUAAUAAUUUGUUUUUAUCUUAUUAAAACAAAUUAAUUUUUUAAAUGAUUUUUAAAUAAUUGAUUCGAUAAUAAAUGGAUAAUUUUUUAAUUAUAAUUGUUAUACAUCCUUUUUCGUUUGAUCUUGACAAAAUUUAAUCCUUAGCCAAUUUAUGUGAAAAAUUAGAUAUUACUGAAUGGAUUUAUACUACUUAAGGAUCCUUUGCUUGGAGUUUUUAAUUUGUUUUAUAAAAUUAUAGAGUGUAUGUUCCAUGUGAUUUUUUUUUAAUAAAGAAACUCAUAUUAUAAUUAAAAUAUUUAAACUUUGCCAUUUGCGCAUCCAACCAAUAUAAUGACUCCAAUUUUUGUAGUUUUUUCUUGGAUUCUUCCUCACUCCUCAGCGGUGCAAUCUUGUCGGCAUUACUAAAUUAUGGUUUCCAUAUUUAUCUUGAUGAUUUAAUUUAUUGGGUCCAUUCUAUUUGAUUCAACUCUAAGAUUUUGUGUUAUUAUCAUUUAAAUUGAAACAACAAAUUCAAUAAACAAGUUUUAAUUUAGCCAAUUUUCCAUAUAUAUAUAAAGAGGAAUAAAAUCAAAUUUAGUUUAAUAUAAUUGUUAGUAAUUGAAACCUUCAGGAAAACUUGAUUUUAGAAAAAGCUUUACCUUAAGUCUGAUUCUCAAAAAUAAAUGUCCAUAGGGAAAUUAAUAAUUGUUGGCUUCAAUUUAUAAGCACAUAAGUUGUUUAUUAUGGCUAUUAAUUAGUGACAGAAAAUGGCUUCAAUAAUCAUAAUUAUGCCCUGCAGGUGAAGGCAAAUUAUUAAUUGCCUUAAUGGAAGCCUGCCAUAUAUGCUUAAGCAACGCAGCUACAAAUUAAUCUGAAACAAAAAAUCACUUUGAGCGGGGUUUCUCAGUUCUUCUGGCUGGUAGCCCCUGCUUCUCAUGUGUUGUACUUUUUGUGACGGUUGAGUUUUUGGUAUUUUGCUAUAAGAAGGUUUGAGGCUUCGGAUUGUUGGAUUCUGGGUUCAGGAGAAUCUCUGUGGGUUAAAUGUUACAGAAGUUAACAUAGCACGUUUGAUUGGUGCAUUAUCUGAGCCUUUUUCUUUUUCCAAAUCAAAGAAAGAACUGGAUAAUCUUCAACCACAAACUGUGAGUGGAUCACCUUCCUGUAACAUCAAUUUAGACAAAUAUCUAUAAUUUAGUUGAUAAAUCAAAUUAUAUCUGGAAAAAAAGGUUGCUUAAUUUCACAGUUUCAUGUCAAUUUUUUUAUUUAAGAAAAAAAAAGAGAAGAUUUCCACAUUAAAAUUGCAAAAUGGAUGCCAAUAAUAUAGCAGAGAAUAUAUGAUUUGCUUUCAAGUGGUAGUAAUAUUAAAAUUGUAUACGUAGUUAGGAGUGCCCAGAUAAUAUUUUCUUCCCGAUGCAGUUGAAGCUAAAUCAGGCAGGUAAUUCAGUGCUUUCCUUAAUCCAUUUUCAAGUUUAGGGACAAUAAAGAAAAAAGGGUCCACAUUGAUGAGGAUCAUGAACGACAAAGUUUCUUGACUCUUGACUUUGGCUGGAUAAUUCCCUUAUAUAACCAUUCCUGUUUGCUCUCAGUUCCUCGUUCCUAAACUCCUCUCUUCUCUGUGUUUUUCUAAUUUCUAGGAAAACAAACACACACACUCAUAAAGCCAAAGGAAAGAAAACCCCACUUCUCCUCCUCUCUCUCUCUCUCCGUCUUUCUCUUUCUUUCAUGGGAAAAUAACUUCUCUUGGUUGUGUUUGGAGAACUAGCCAGAACAUUAGAUCAUAAGUAGCAAGAAAUUUAAGUGUUAGCCUUGUAGCAAGAAAAUGGAAGGAGGGAUUCAUACAGGCACUGAUGCCUCAGCUUUCAAGGAAUGUUUCUCUUUGACAUGGAGAAAUCCUUAUGUUCUUCGCCUUGCUUUCUCUGCUGGGAUUGGUGGCCUUCUCUUUGGCUAUGACACAGGUCAAUUUUCUGUAUCUUUCUGUUCCCUUAUAUAUGCAUCUGUUUCCUUUUUCACUCAAAAAAUUUUCCUUGGUUAUUGCAGGUGUGAUAUCAGGUGCUCUCUUAUAUAUCAGAGAUGAUUUCGAGUCUGUGGAUAGACAGACUGUCUUACAGGUGACCUGAUAUUACUUUACAUUUUGUAUCUACUUUGACGUUAUGUAAAUACUCUGCCCAAAUUUUUGUGUAUAUCUCUCCAGGUUCCUGCCAAAAUUUCUCGGUGAAUCCGCCCAUUUUUGGACAACGGUGUCCCUUUAAUCUGUACUUAUUAUUAUUCAAAGCACUCACACCAGUCACCGCUCUGUUCUCUUAACUUCUGUCGUGACCCUGUUCAAUUUUGUUCAACAAAAUUGCUGAAAUGGCAUCUGCCUAGGCUAUUGGUUUAUCUUAAACUGUUGGUAAUUGGUAAUGUUGGGAGUUGCACACGUUUGCUUAAAGUCUUGGGGCCUCUGGUGCAAAGUCUUUAUCUCAAGGUUGUUUCUUCUGAUUUAGGAAAACUGUUUGUUCUCAAAGUUUUCAUGAAUUCUAUCAGCUAUCAGGUUUUUUUGUAGUCAUUUGUCUUUUCAAAUCAAUGACUCUUGAACCUUUUGGAACAAAUUUCUAUAGUUUGACAAAUUAUAUUGACUUAAAUUCUAAGAAAUCUGUUUAUAAGUUUUUCAAGGCGUUGAUUGUUUCCUCUGUUUUUAUUCACAGACAGUUAAAACUGUUUUGAGAUCAUCAAACUUUGUUUUCUAAGAAACUGUAAAAUAAAUGGUAUUCUAUAUGUAAUAGGUUACAACAAACUGGAAGUUUCCUCUAUUCACUGCCUAACUUGUUCCCCCCCCACCUAGAAAAAUAUUUAAAAAGAGUAAAAUUUUAAUUUUUGAAGAAGAUUGCCUGAAAUUGUUGAAGUGAUUACAAGGCUGGAAUUAGAGUCUAAGCAAUUUUAAAGUGGCAAAUGGUGGGUAAGUAUCAAAAAGGUUCAUUCUUAAAAAUUAGAAAAAGAAGUGACAUGGUCCAUUUGAGCUUGAAGUGGUCUAAUACAAAGCUAGGCCUAGGCUAUGAGAAUUUACUGAAAGGGCACCCCUGGCAUCACCUACAGGGUGCAGCUAAAAUUAGACUGGCUGUAAUGUUAUCUCAAUUAAUCAUAUGUAAUUUAGAAAUUCACUUUUCCAUUUUCCUUUUCACAACGUUGUAUUGAUUUAAUUUCUACAUUAAAACAAUAUAUAUAUAUAUAUAUAUGGGAAUUUUGUUCAAACCCUGGUCCAAGUUAGCACAGAACAUGUGAAGGAACAAAUUCCAGGAUCUCAUGUAACAACUAGUAAUUUACUAGUCCCUAAGCUGCUAAAACCAUUCUGAUGCAUGGCCAAUUGUUCAUAUACAUGAAAACAGGAGAGUAUAGUGAGCAUGGCAAUUGCUGGAGCCAUCAUUGGAGCUGCAGUUGGUGGGUGGAUGAAUGAUCGAUAUGGAAGAAGAACUGCUAUCCUCAUUGCUGAUAUCCUGUUUCUCAUUGGAGCUGUGAUUAUGGCCUCUGCUCCUAGCGCUCCUCUUCUUAUUGUUGGCCGAAUAUUUGUGGGACUUGGUGUUGGAAUGGCGUCAAUGACAUCUCCUCUUUAUAUAUCAGAAGCUUCCCCUGCCAAAAUCCGUGGUGCCCUUGUUAGUACCAACGGAUUUCUUAUUACUGGUGGCCAGUUCCUCUCUUACCUUAUUAACUUGGCUUUCACCAAGGUAAGCUAGCAAAACAUGCUACUGAAUGCCCUUGAAAAUUGGAUUACAAAAAUAUCUGAAUAGGCAUUAAUUAAGGUGCUAAACUUUGAUGGCAUUCUACUUCAGGCACCAGGGACAUGGAGGUGGAUGCUUGGAGUUGCAGGACUCCCACCAAUUGUGCAGUUCAUUUUGAUGUUUGGUCUUCCAGAAUCACCCCGUUGGCUAUUCCGCAAAGUUUGUAAUCAUAUUCCAAACUAUAUUAAUUUUAUAGUGUGAAAAUGUUCAGGUAUUUGAUUUUUAAGCUUUGAAGUAUUAAUUCCUUGUCUUCUCCAAAACAGGGAAGAGAAGAAGAAGCCAAAGCCAUUUUGAGGAAAAUUUACCCAGUUGAUGAAGUUGAACAAGAAAUUCUAGAUUUAAAAGAAUCCGUUGAGGCAGAAAUUAGGGAAGAAGGAUCUUCUGAAAAGAUUAACAUCAUUAAACUGUUACAAACCAAAACAGUGAGGAGAGGGCUCACAGCUGGUGUUGGUCUCCAAGUUUUCCAACAAUUUGUUGGCAUAAACACAGUCAUGUAUUACAGUCCUACCAUAGUUCAGUUAGCUGGUUUUGCCUCUAACCGAACAGCACUCCUCCUUUCCCUUGUCACUGCUGGCCUCAAUGCCUUUGGCUCCAUUGUGAGCAUAUACUUCAUUGACAGGACAGGGAGGAAGAAGCUGCUGAUUAUUAGUUUGCUUGGACUGGUAAUUUCCCUUGGUGUUUUAUCAGGAGUUUUCCAUGAGACCACAUCCCAUUCUCCAGUGGUUAGCAGUGUUGAAACAUCUCACUUUUCAAAUUAUACAUGUCCUGAUUAUAGUUCAGCUGCCAACUCUGCUACUUGGGACUGCAUGAAGUGUUUGAAGGCUUCCUCUCCACAUUGUGGGUUCUGUGCUUCACCAACAAACAAGGUAAAACACAUGCUACCACCAAACAAAAGCUUUAAUAAGGUCACAUAUUUUCCCUUCAUUAACUAGUUUAUUGUUACUGCAGCUACUGCCAGGGGCAUGUCUGAUCUCAAACGACACAGUGAAAAAGCAGUGCCAUGACGAAAGCAGGCUAUGGUACACAAGGGGAUGUCCAAGCAAAUAUGGAUGGCUUGCGCUUAUUGGUCUUGCUCUCUACAUCAUAUUCUUCUCCCCUGGAAUGGGAACUGCCCCAUGGAUAGUCAACUCUGAGAUUUAUCCGCUCAGGUUUAGAGGUGUAUGCGGUGGAAUUGCUGCAACUGCCAACUGGAUUUCAAAUCUCAUUGUGGCUCAGUCCUUUUUAUCACUUACAGAAACGAUAGGGACUUCCUGGACAUUCCUAAUUUUUGGAGUCAUUUCUGUGGUGGCUUUACUCUUUGUAAUUAUAUUUGUGCCAGAAACAAAGGGGCUGCCUAUUGAGGAGAUUGAGAAGAUGUUGGAGGUUAGAGCUUUGCACUGGAGGUUCUGGGAGAAAAGUGAUAAACCAAAAGAAAAGAGCCAAGAAGUGUGAAUAAAUACCAGGGAGAGAAUGGUGCAAGUAGGAUGCCGAACCCUGAAAAAUUGGACAUUGCAUUUAGCAAGAAUGGAAUUAAUUUGAUAAUGAAAGCUGCUCCUGUCUCUCUCUCUCUCUCUCUAGUUUACAAUCUCCAUUCUCUGCAGGAAACAAAGCGGGAAACCUGAUUUCAUGUUUUACGGUCUCCGUGCUUUUAUUUUACGCCAAUUUUAUUUUUGAUGGCAUUGGGGGGCAUACAUUGUAGGAAAUUAUAGCAACAUUGUUACAAAUCUCCAUGUAUGUUCUCUACGUUAAACGAAAUUGUUAAAACCUUGCCAAUUACUUCUAUAAAUAGUUUCUUUCUCCCCAGAAAUUUCUUCUGAUAAAAUGAAAAGAACAAAAAAGAAACAAGGAGGAUCUCUUUUAUACUUGGCUGCAUUGCGACAAUUACUUGAAGGAGCCAAAGAAAAUGAUAAUGUUUGAGAUUUACUUUGUCCCAUAGCAGGAAAAUUACUUUAUUUUCAUCUUCCUACAAACUAACGUGGCAACAAUAAAAAAAAUGUAAAUGCAUAGAGAGUAAUUAACUAGAUCUCCUGAUUAUUCAACCAGGGGUGAACAACACUAAGGCAUUUUCUGUCUAAUCAGAUAUACUACUUUCUCAUUGAAGAUGAGGACAACAUAUAUAAAUCAUGGCCAUGGCCCUGAUAAUAAGUACUCAGUUCCAUCUAGCCUCUAUAUCCAGGACGGUAGAAGGGAAAGAACCGUCAAUUUUUUCCAUGCCUCUUUCCUUCCCUUUUUUCCCUUUCUCUGUUAUUGGUACGACAUGAAUACAUCUCAAGGCUUGGAUAGCAAAAAAUCAAUGCUGAGGACAAUGAUGCAUCCAUGCUUCAGGCGAUGUGCGCUGCCAAGGUAAGGAUCUUGACGUGCUUCUUCUGCCUCAGCUCAUGUGGGACUGGCCCAAAUACUCUGGUCCCUAUUGGCUGGCCUUGCUUGUCAACAAGAACAACUGCAUUGUCAUCAAACUUGACCUCACUCCCAUCACAACGGCCUCGCUGCAUGGCAGCACGCACAACCACACCAUAUACCACCUUUCCUUUCUUCACCUUACCAUUAGGCAUGGCUUCCUUUACAGAUGCAACUAUGGUGUCUCCCAAUCUUGCCCCUUUCUUCCCCUUUAAAGCUUGUAUGCACAUAACCUUUUUUGCCCCAGAGUUGUCCACUACUUUGAGAACAGUUCUCAUCUGUAUAAAAGUCCUUUGUUGCUGCAGAAUCGAAAGAAACACAGAGGUUAUGUAUUGAAGAGGACAUCACAAAGGCAUCACAUAAAAGCCAUGUGAAAAUUGUUGGACUUAGACGACAUAGUGUAAAAUAUCAACCAUUUGACAAAGCCUGCAUCACUCUGACAUUAAGCUACAAGGUCAAUUGCAAUCUCCAAAUAAGAUAUGUGGGUCUUACAACCGCUAUUUUUCUAAUCUUUUCUCAUAAAACAGUCAAAAGCAACAGAAACACAGGUUUUCAUGCACACACUCAUUAAAAGGAAAAGUUGCAGAUACAUGCACACAAAAGCAGAUAUCCAGAUAAGGUCCUGCAGCAUUAGAGAGUUUUAAUUCAGAUUUGCAAACAUAAGACCUGCAAUGUAGCUUUCAUUAAUGAUAGGUUCAACUCCUGUCCACCACUAAAAUUGCACUCAAGUUGUUUAGGCUGCCAUCCUAUGCAGUCCAUAUACAGCUCAUCAAAAGCUGACUCAAUAGUUCUUAUACAUCCUUGAUGCAUUAAUCAACAUUAAAUAAUUGGGGAAAAGUUGAGUUCAAACUUGAUAUUGUUUUAGUUAAUAAUGCCUCUCUCAUCCAACCAUUUUGAUUAAUAAAGAAUGAAUAGCUUUAAAAUGUAGCCCAUCACAAAUGAUGGCAUAAUCAAACUUGUCUAAUCUGUUUCAUAGGCUGGUCUAUUCCCAGAAAGUGGGAGAAUUUAUCUCAAUUUUCUAAAUUUAGAAUGAAUACAAGCAUGCACACCAUGUGAAAGCAUUUCAUAGAUCACGGUACAAGCUUAAAACAAAUAUCAUGCUAGAAAAAUGCUGACCUGAGACAGGAAACUGCCAGAUGUUAUCUCACUUGAUGUGCUGGGCAAUUUAGAGAAGUUGUUUACAAGGCCACCCAGCAAUGAACGGCCCACUAGUGCACAGUCAAACAAAAGCAGGUAAAUAAGACUAGAUACCAAGGACUAAAAGAAUUUAUGACAGAUGUUUUAAUCUUAUAUUCUUAUGAUUCAACAAUUUGUACACUUCAAUUGCACCAAGACCAAAAUAAACACAUUUCUGCAGAUAGUCAGAUACAAAGCAUUAAGAAGCUGAAAAAUGGAUCCGAGGACUUACUUCAUCAUGCCCUCAUCCAUAAAAGAGGACCGAAAGCAAAAGUGAUCCUUCCUAUUGCACUUUUCUAGUAAAUAUUAACGAAUAAAGAUUACAGGAAGAACCAGCAUGAUAGAAUAGACACAACCAGAGUUCGUUAACAGCUCCACAAAAAUCCCACAGAAAGAGACUUCUCAAUUGUGAAAUCCAAGAAAUUAAAAAGGCUUCUUGAAACUAUGCUCAUCAAAAGAAACAUAAAUGACUAAAAGAAAUCAGAAAACACAGUGGAACAAGAUCCAAAUAUAAAAUUGUAUACAAAAUACUACAUAGACUUCAUAUUGAUGGCAGUGACAAAGAUGGUGAUGUGCAGGAACUGACAAAAUUCAAAUCCCAAGCUCAUCUGAGGCUAGCUAUACUUCAAUAAGUCCCACCAAACCCCACCCCAAAUCUCUCCAAAAAGAAACGAAAUCUUUUAUCAAUUCCCUUUAUUCAUCUUGGCUCAAACUUACUGCUAACCAAAAGGAAUAUUCUCGCUGAAGCUACGUUCUUAUUGGGUUUGGUUUUUUACUCAAUCUCAAUCAAAGCAAAAUCUUUUCAAUGCAUACUGGUUUCAAUGGAUUGAAAUGCUUUGUAUGCUGUUGAUAUAAACCGUCACAUCUGCUCAUUAACAAAAAAAAAAAAAAGCUUCAAGCAAACAAACACCAAUGUUAUUUUCCAUCACAUACCCCCGGAGCAUUUGGAAGCAAAGCUUGCAGCCAUCGUCGUGAUUAAUUCGCCAACCUUAACAGGGGAAAAGGAAAAUGAUUGAACAAGAAAGAACCCUAAACCGUUAAGCCGUUGGGACUUCGGAGGGGGUGAAGAGGAAGGACAUUGGGUUUGAGCCCACGGUUGCAUGAGCCUAGCCCAACACAGAAAAUACAAUUUCUUCAAGUACGAAACCCAACCAUUGUAUGUCAAAAACAAAAUGAAAAACAACCAAUGGUUUUAUCCCCACAGCCAGUGACUCACCUCAUUUUCAUUCUAAAGUUUUUCAGAAAUUACCCACUCUAGGAAGCGGCCAAUCUAAAAGUUUUAAUGGAUUAGUUGCGGCAGAGAGCUAACCCACUCGGGCUUCUAACGGUGGGUAAAAACCUACAACCUGAUCAAGUUGAUUGGACUCAACCAAUCCCAUUAUGGGAACAGCUCCCACCCAACUUCUCAAUUCACUUUCCUUCCUCACUCCACCAACAACAACAACAACAACAAAAUACCCAUAAAAAGCCAAAAAAAAAAAAAACCACUAAUAAGCCCAAGAGUGCGAUUGAUGUAAAAAAUUCCUCACAUGGUUUGUGAUUCGGCCUCGAAGAUGGCAAAUGGAACACAUGGUUACAAAGAUAAAAAGUCAAAAUAUUUUAGGUGCUACAAAAGAAAUCUUCAACAACUUAAGUAUAUAGUAAUAUUAUGGAAUCUUACAGCUUACUAGCAGAAUUUUCAUGCGAUAUAUAAACAGAGAAACCUACAAGUGAUUGGUCAAACAACACACAGAAACGAAAUAAAAAAACCUGUUAAAAAAUCAACUCAUCUAUCUAAGUUUUGAAGUUUAGAGCCCCCAAAAGGAAUAUUACUCCCCCACGCCAGUGCCAUCUUCAAUAUUAAACAAAUAUUUUUGGCCUAUGUACACAUACAUAUAUAUAUAUAUAUAUAUAUAUAUUCUUUUAACAAUUCUCAAAAUCAUGAUCUUGAAAUAAAGUGGACAAGAAUGUUGCAUUCUUUGACAGCAAAAGCAAAGACCUAAGAGACUAAUAAGACUCUAAAAGAGAGAGCGAGUCAAAGAGCUAUAGCCAUUAGCCACUUAAACUUAGUAGUUGAGCCAACCGAUUGAUCUUUUUACCAAAAUAGGGGGAAGAUAUCUCCUACCUGGCUUACCAAACUUUCUCAAAAGGGAAAAGUCCUUUAGGGUUUAAAAGUUGUUAGCAAGGCAUGCAUGGAACGUUCUUGUUUGAAA
rnacentral:lncRNA from 1 species